GUCAUGAUUAGAGUGAUCAAUUGACUAAUUUUAUUUGAAGUGAAUCAAAUUAAGUCAUUAUUCGUAAUAACUAAAUUGAUAAAACUAAAAUUAAAGAUGAAUUGAUAAGUUCACUUACAAUUUCAAUUAAUCUCAUAGUAAUUACAUGAUCAACUAUGUGUAUUCGUCUCGAGGAGAGUGAUUGUAGACACCUAAUUUUGUCCCUCUCUGAUAUCACUUUUACUCAUUUUUACCUUAUCUUAUCGUGUACCUCUCAACCAUAAAAUUAUCACUCCAUAAAAUGACAAAAAAUAACAACCUUUAACAAAUUGUACAUUUAUUUUAAUCAUAUCCUAACAACCUCAUCAAUUAAAAACAGACACCUAGCUACCCUACCCCACGUCACCACUACCCCUCACAUUAUAUUCAUUUUUCUUAACCAACUCACGAAAAGAACAAAAAAGAGAGGGCCCACACACUAUAUCAAAAGAUACCCAUUUAUUUAAUCAUCUUCUUCCAUUCUGAAAAGGGGAGAGAGAACAGAUAUACACAUAUAUGACCCUCACUAACAAAUUCACUAGAAUAUGUUCACACCAGAGAAGCGGCUUCUUAUCCACAAUACACUGAAUCACACUUUCAACGCCCAACGCACACACACCCGAGAGAAACAUAAUGAGACAAGGGAGAGAAAACUGACGCGAAAGAGAGAAACGGGGGUGGUUUAGGUAGAUUUUCCGGUGAUACAGCGGUAGAACCAUCGCCGGAGAUCAACCGGAAAACAUCCCCGAGCUUUGCCUGUUACUGCUUUGUUGGAAACCCAUUAAAAACCAAUUAAAAUCCCACCAAAUCCCUCUUGGUCGCUGUUCAGAGUUCGUGUUGAAGUUGGCCGACGCUGACGGGAGAGAAUCUUCCUUGAUUUUGGUCUAAGUUGACGAACAACAGAGAAAAGGGUAUAACGAGCUCGGGUUUGUUGAUAGAGGUUGGGAUUGAGGAUUUCGGAUGCGGAUUCUAACGGGUUAAUCGAAAUAAUAGAUCGAUUUUUGAAAGCACUGAGGUCCAAUUCUAUCUCCUCUCUUUUUAAUUUUUACGUAAUCGUGAAUGAUUUGUGUAUUGGUAUGUUUGAAUCUUGAUUGAGUAUUGGUUGAUGUUGGAUUUAAAUGUGGAAAAGGGAAUUGAUAAUCAAUGCAUGUGUUGAUCAUUGGUUGAGAAUGAAUUUGGGGUAGAAUUGAAAAAUUGAUAAAAAGGGUGAAUAUAGAUCGAUUUAGAUUUAUUGUUGUUUUGUUUAAUUCGGAAUAAAUAUCAUGUUUUGGAAUGAGGAUCGGUAAGUAAAUCGUAGGUUUUGGAUAGGCAAAGUUUAGGAAUCUUGGUGAUUUGUUGAAUGUGUGAAUAUUUGGUGGUUGGUUCUUUCUAUUUUACCGUACAAGAUUGAGAAAUGUAUUCAUUUUAUCAGGGAAUGCUCUGAGAUCUUAUGUACUUCUUCACCGGGGAAUGCCCCGAGGUAUCUUGUACUUGGAGGACGUUCAUGAUAAAGGCCCAAGGCGUCGGGUAGAGCAUUAGUCUAGAUUAGUUUAGAAUAUGAUUUAUAUUUCCGCAUUUCUUCUAUUUUGGGUUGUAAUAAUUGGAUUGAACACUAAGUUUUGGAUUGUUUUAUUUUGUUUGAUUGAUUGAUCGUUUUAUAUGUUUUUGUGGGAUUUAUACAUUAGUAGUGUCAAAUUAUGAUAUUUAAUUGAAAAGUGAAAAUUAGUUUUAAAAAUAAUUUUAGAAAAAAAAUAUGUAAAAUAUUGAGAGUAAGGUCCACUUACUUCUAUUAUGUCAAAAUUAACGUAUCAUUACUAUUUAUUAAGAUACUCAUUUGCAAUUUUUAAUAGAGCUGAUGCAAUGAACUAAAUUGUAAAAAGAUCGAAAGAUAUAGAUGAUAGCCAUAUAGAUUUCUUCUCGUAGUUUGAUCAAACCCGAAAGAAGACGGUGAGUUUAAAUUUUAAAUAUUGCUUCUACGUGUGAUAUAGGGGAAAUAUCCUCUAAACCUAAGUAUUUUUCAAUGGCCUAUAAGCAGUAGCAAACAAAAAAAGAAAGUUAAAAAUAUCCAUAAUUAAAAAGUGCAAUAGCAAACCUAAGAUUAAAUGGAAACAAUGGAGCAGAUCUUAGAACUUUAAAGUGCACUCACUCUAACAACAUUUCUUUUAUAAAAUGGAUCGAUGAGGAAAUAAAUGUGAUUUAAGCUCUUAGCGGUAGACCGUCAUUAAAUUUUAGCUACGAGGCUUACGCAAAGAGUAACCACACUCCUUUUAUUGAGUAGAAAAAUAAAACGAUUUACUUUGAUAAGAAUUAUCAUUAUAGUUUUAGGAAAGAGAAUGCUAUUGUACAAGCUAAGGAAAUUUAUUAAAUCAUAUAUUUAGUUACAAAUUUAAUAACUACUUCCUCUAAUAAGGGUGGUAAAACACAAGGAAACGAGGUUCAACUAAUUCAACAAGACUCAAUAGAUCUAAGAGGAAUAUACGAAGUAUCAAAACAAUUUAGAGCGAUUGGAGGAAGAAGACAAUGUGAAGAAUCAAAUUUUUCUCGAGCUACAUUUUCUUGAAGAUUUCACAUUUUAAAGAAACAUGGAUCUAACUCUAGAUUCUUCUUGAAGAUUUCACAUUUUAAAAGAAACAUAGUCUAACUCUAUAUUCUUACUUAUUUUAAUUUUUCACUACUAAAGUAUUAUCAUUACAGUACCAUCAUAGAAUUUGUUAUAAACUUUGUGAUGAUCGAGAAUAUUUAGUUCUUUCUUCUACUUAUUCUUUUACUUGUAAGUUAAUUAGAAGAGAUUUUGUAACUCCUUUCUUGUACUUCUUCUUUUGAGUUUUGCUUUUAUUAAUUAUAAAAAAUUAGCCCUAGGUAGUUCGCCUAGUGGAUUUGCUCAAAAAAAUUAUACUCCCUUUGUUUAUUACUUGAAAUUUACUUGUCUAAUUUAUGAAAUCAAGAGAAUUUUAUGUAUGUAUGUAUGUAUAUAUAUAUAUAUAUUUACGCUAGUAUUAAAUAAUGCCAUAAAUUAGUACUCUCUCGUUUACUUUUAUGUGUUCUUGCAAAAAUAAAUUUUCAUUUUUAGAUGUCACUUUUAACAUAUCAAGAAAAGAUAAUUAUUUCUUUUUCAUGUUUUAUCGUUAGCAUUAGUUACUUAUUUUUCAGAUCAUUUUUUAAAAUCUAAUACUAACUACUAAACAUCAAUCAACAAUGAUAAUAUAAUAAAAUAAUCAUAUCAAACAUUAUUAUUUUAAUAGGAUCAAUUAUUAUAUCAAACAUUAUUAUUUUAAUAGGAUCAAUUAUUAUAAAAGAGAUGACGUCUUUCAAAUUAUUUUUGGAAAAAGUAUAAGAAUAUUCAUCUUUAUAUAUAAAUUCCAAUGAUCUUAUAAGGUUAAUCAAAGCCAUGAGUAGAAUCCUUGGUUUAACGCUUGCGAGUUUGAGGUACUCUUGAUUUAAAUCCUUCCAAUAAUUUUCUACCAUUUUCCUUCUUUCCGUGUAUGCCUUUUCCUUUGUGACAAAAUAUUCAUCAAUAUAACAUUCUACAACAGAAGCUACAUCUCCUCUAUCUUAUUCAUCUUGCAUUCACAAUAUAAAUAAACAAAUUAAAUAAAAGAUAAAAAUUAAUUACUUCUUAUAUAUGUUAAAUAGUAUCACAUCAUACAUAUCCAAAACCUUGAAUACUAAACGCAUAAUAAUUUUUGUCCAAUUUAUUGUUAUAUAAAAGGGAAAAUCAAAUAUUUUUACACUUGUAUUUAAGGAUAAGGUCGUUCAAAUAAGUACAAUUUUUUUGUAAAUGUAUUUACACUAUCGUGAAUGUCUAUAUAUAAAUAAGAUCUAUCAAGAUUUAGUUGAUAUUUAUUAGGAUUUGAAGUAUCUGCAUUUUAGUCAGAAACUAGGAGUAAAUUUCUCCUACAAAUAGAAGACUUUCUUUAUUGUAAAUCAUCCUCAAGGAUCCCAAGAGAAUACCUCAAGAUAAAUAAUAAUUACUCUCUCUUUUCUCUCUCUACUCUUGUUCUUUAUUCUUUAUUAUUUCAUAACACGUUAUCAGCACGAGACUCUGCCAAACAAGGUGAUAUUAUAAAUCUAAAGAUAAUUUAAAGGUUAGUAAUUCCUUAUGUUAUUUGUAUUUUGCUACUAAUGAUAUAAUUAUUGUUGGAUUUGAGGAAAAAUAAUUGGUUUGGAAUCACUUAUGCUUUAAACUUGUUCAUGAAGAACAAUAUUGUUAAAAGAUAUGAUGAUGAAUUUAAGUCUCAUCUUAUUAAGAGGGUAAGACAUUGGGUUAAAAGUUUUAAUACAUCAUGAUGAUAAGAUGUUGGGUUCAAGUCCCAUCGGGUUAUUAUCUAAGACGCCUUUAUAUGGAUAAGACAUUGAGUUUGAAUCUUAAUGCACCAUAUUGAUGAUAUAAUGAUGACUAAGGUAAAUUAAUAUAUUUUUGGUGAAAGACAUGAAAUUUGUCCUAUCAAUAUGCUCCAUUCCCUGAAGUGAAUAUGGUAGCAAUGCAUAAUAUGUUUGAAAGAUGAUAAUUUACUACAUUCUUGAAGUGAAUGCGGUAGCAAUAUAUGAUAUACUCUGAAAUAUAUGUUAAGAGAAAAAUUCUCUACAUUGUAUGUAUCUCGAUGUGCUACUAAAAUAACAAUAUCAUGAAAGAGGUUAUAAGCUAUCAGAAUUUGAUAGGCUUAAGGCACGAUUAUAUUUCAUUCAUGUGGAAUGAGAAGCUUAUUAAUGCAAACGUGCACUUGAUUGUGAUGGUAUCAAAAUUUACCUCUGAAAGAGGCAAGAUAACUGGGAAGAGUUAUUUUAAAAUCUACUUCUAAAGUAGUAAAUCUGAAAUUUAUUCAUGUAAUAGUAAAUCUGAAAUUUACUAAAGAAAAAAGUACUUGUCAUGAUAAACUUGGAGUUUACUAGAAUAAAAGUUCAUAAAUUGUUAUGAAUGAUUGUGACAUCUCGAAGAUGUGCAUAUUGGGUAUUAGGCAUGUAUUGAAGAACUAGAAGAUUCUUCAAAAAUUGUUUAUGUUGCUUGUUCUUAUGAUAAGUUGGUUGGACCAACUAAUAUUGGGAUUAGAUCCCUUAAAAUCUGAAAAGUGUAAAAGGUAAAUAAGGAUCCAUUCACCUAUCAUGUGAUAUGCUGAAAAGAUGUAUCAAUAAGCUGAUCACAUGUACAUUCAUUGUCAACCUGCGUUUGAUAUUCAUAAAGUUGAUUCGUCAAUAAAAUUGAGUUAAGAGCAUAAUUUUUAGAUUGUGUAAUCAAGAUAAUUCAUUUUGAUGAUGAUGGUUUGGCAUUGAAUGCCUUUGAUAAAUAGCUAAACUAUUGCUAAUGAGAAUAAAACUUCAUGUGUUGGUCCGAAUUAUGAUAUGUUGCAUAAAAUAGCACUUGUAUGCAUUAGACCAAUAAAUUAUGAUUAUUUUUUUCCUCUCAAUUGAUUCAAGGUCAGGAACCAACUAUUCCAUCUAAUAGUUUUGAGAUAUACGAUUAAUGAGUAUACCAUCAUGCAAAAAGAUGGGUUCCUCAAAGAAGAUGAAGGAUGUAUGUUAGUUUUCCUAACAAAAGGGGAGAUUAUAAGCAGCUAUGAAAUAUCUUAGGAAUUAUCAUCAGAUCCUUAUUCAAAAGACAAUUCAAGUCAAAUGCCGAAAACAUCUCAUAUUAAGCUCCAGUUGCUCCUAUUUUGUGUCCCUAAAGGACAAAGCUAUGCAUGUCUGAAACAUGGUAGGCCAAUCAGUUCCAAAUAAUAUAAUACUUGAAAAAAAUAUGGAUCAAAUAAUUAGAAUAAGAAUACAAUGUUAUCUUGAAGAGCCUAUGACAUAACACUUCAUGAAACAUUAUGAGAGGUUCAGGUACCUAAAAAUAAUGAAGUGAUAUCUAAAAAUGUUAUGUCACACUGUGAACCAAUACAAAAUGAUAUAUCAUCAAUAUCUUUGAUACAUUAUUGACGCAAUAUUGUGAAAGAUUACGAGAAUCUGAAUUCUACAUUUAUUUAAACGUGCUGACGUAGAAAAAAUUAUCAAGUGACCUGAAAGGAUGGAUUUUAGUAAGCUCCAACCUUAUUUGAUUUGCAGUCCAGACACUUGAAGAUGUCACACAUGACAUGUUGGACAUUUUCACUUGACAAUAAUCCAUAUGAAAAUCCCUAAAGGAUUCAAAAUGCCUAAAACAUAUAAAGUUUCUGGAAAACUUGUUUAUUAUCCUUAUAAGGGAUAAAUUGAUGGUCUGAAUAUUGUUUUAACUCUCAGAGAGUUUUCAAAAUCAAUAGAUUAUUUACUCAAAUGAGAAAUAUGAAGUAUCAUAUCUUAGUUCCAUUGAUUCACAACACUAAUGUAUCUUGCAAAUACUACAAAAACUGAUAUAGCCUUUUCAGUCAAUUUGUUAGCAAGGUAUAUUUCUGCUCCUACUAGGAGACAUCAAAAUAGGAUAAAAGAAAUAAGCUUAUUUUAUUCUAAAGUCUGAAGUCCCAAUUUUAUUGAUUAUGCUGAUGCUGGGUACUUAUCUGACCCGCAUAAAGUUCAAUCUCAAACAGGCUAUCUUUUCAUAUAUGUGGUACUGCCAUAUCUUGGAGAUAUAAAAGCAGUCUAUUGUAUCCACUUCAUCGAAUUAUGCUGAGAUAACAGCUAUUCAUGAAGAGAGUUGAGUGAGUAUGAUUGAGGUCCAUGAUACAUCUCAUUCGAGAAAAAUGUGAUUUGAAAUGUGACAAUGAACCUACAAUUUUAUACAGAGAUAAUGCAGUAUGCAUAGAAUAUCUUAAUGGAGUAUUCAUAAAAAGAGAUAGAACGAAUAACACUUCAUCAAAGCUUUUCUACAUAAAUGACCUACAAAAGAAUGGUGAUAUUAACGUGCAACAGAUUCAUUCAAGUAACAAUGUGACCAAUUUAUUCACCAAGUCUCCUCCAAUUGCAACUUUCAAGAAGAUAGUGCACAAUAUUAGGAUGCAAAGGUUCAAAGAUGUUCUCAUUUGAGGGAGUUAAUACGCGUUUUACUCUUUUUCCCUUAUGAGGUUUUGUUCCACUGAGUUUUCCUUAUAAGGUUUUUAAUGAGGCAACCUAUAUGCAUAUUGUUAUAGAUGUGUACUCUUUUUUCUUCACAGUGCCAAAGAGAUUAACAGUCAACAACAGGUAACAAUUCCUAGAAAGUCCAUAUAGUAAUUUAAAAAAUGAUUAGAGCAUCUAGUGCCUUCGAACUUUGAUGAAAUCUGCUAGGACAUAUUCCAACUUCAUAGGGGUUCUAUUACCCUCUAAACUAAAUUUUAGCAUAUUUUUGUCUAACUUUUUAGUUGAUGUGGUACCUUUUGUUAGUCUUUUUAGUUGAUGUGGAAUCUUUGAUGUGAGUUUUAUUUUAUAUAAUAAAGGUGUCACAUCAUUAAAAGUAGUGAUAAAAAUGCAUUAAAAUUGAGUUCAGAAGGGUAAUAGGAUACUGUAAAAUUGAAAUGUGUCAUAGAAACUUUAAAAACUACUGGAAUAUGGGUCUUUGUCCCUUCCUAUGUGGAUAAAUAAAGUCCAAUUUAGACCAACCCACUUUUUUCCAUAGGCCCAUUACUAUGGGGCAUAUAUAUAUAUAUAUAUAUAUCUUUCCUUUUUUGGUCUAUUCAUUAUCACAAAAAAGAGUUUUAGCAGCCAUAAAAAAGAGCAAGAGUGUAGAUUUUUGCCCAAAUUUUUAGCCACAGCUGUCUACUUCAAAUUGAGAUUCCUCCUUCAUUUCUUAUUCGUUUGAGAUGAUUUUUGGAAAGCUUGUUCCUAUCAUAUCAAUAUUUGAUUAGAAACUAAUGGAGGUAGAUUUGGUGGCCUGUACCUCCUGUUCUUCAUUUUCAAACAGUAGCUGCAUUUUUUGUGCUUGUGCUCCUUUUUAUUCUCUAGUUUUGUGCUAUCUUGUUGUGUUAUUGCUCGUUGUUUGGCACUUGUUUUGGGUUCAAUUUUGGAGAAUAAUACUUUAAUUCUUGGUGAUUAUAGUUAAAUUUUGGUCCCAUGGUUUUUACUCUUCACACCGAAGGAUUUUUCAUGUAAAUUUGAUGUCUUGUGUGAUUUGUUUUAUUCUUAUCUUAUUUUAUUUGUGUGGUUAAUAUAUUUUUAUACAUAUUAUCAUUGCUAUUCUUGGAUUUUAUUUGUUUCCUCUUGGUUCAAGUUGAAGGAAAAAGUUUAGACUUGGGUAUUUUCCGCUGCUACCCUAUCGGGCACUUUGAAUGCGCCCUUGCCUCUUUCCCAAUAAAGUGGUAUCAGAGCAUUGGUUGCUAUUAAUUGUUGAUUUGAUCGAUGGAGACAAAUAUUAGAAAGAUAGUAUGUUUGAAUAGUAGUAACUAUCAUACUUGGAAAGGCAAGAUGAAAGAUCUUCUCUUUGUCAAGAAAAUACAUUUGCAUAUGUUUGUGUCUACUAAACCUCAAUCCAUGAUAGAUGAGGAUUGAGAAUUUGAGCAAUUAUAGUUUUAUUUCUAUAUUAGAAAAUGGGUUGAAGAUAAUAUUCGAAACCAUAUUGUAAAUGAGACACAUGCCAAAAGUUUGUGGGAAAAACUCGAGACACUUUAUGCUUCGAAGACUGGAAAUAACACGUUGUUACUACUUAAUCAAUUGAUGAAUAUUAGGUAUAAAGAGGGAAGUCCUAUUUUUGAUCUGAUAAAUUCUCAGGGUGUUCUUGACCAGCUGUUCGAAAUGGGCAUAUAGUUCAAUGAAGAAAUUCAGGGACUUUGGCUUUUUAAUACUCUGCCUGACUCUUGGAAAACUCUUCAAGUUUCUUUGACUAAUUUUGAUCUCGAUGGUGUUGUGACUAUGGAAUAUGUUAAGAGUGGUGUCUUGAAUAAAGAUAUGAAAAGAAGAUCUCAAGUCUCAUCUUCUUCAUCUUUAUACUUUGAUAUUUUGGUUACUGGCAAGAGGGAGAGAAAUAAAUCUAGAGGCCCAAAUGAUAGAGAUAAAAGUAGAAGCAAGUCGAGGUCCAAAUUCAAGAAUGUUACAUAUGACUAUUGCAAUAAAAAGGGGCAUAUCAUUAAAUAUUAUUACUAGCAUAAGAGAGAUAUGAGGCGAUAAAAGAAUGAAGGUGAUAAUGAAAAUUGUGUUGCAGUUGUUGCUAAUGAUGAUCUUCUUAUUGCUUGUGGUGAGAAUGCCAUUAAUCUUGUUCAUGAUGAGUCUAGCUAGUUUGUGGAUUCUGGUGCUAUUUCUCAUGUUACGCCAAAGAAGGAAUUAUUCUCUUCUUAUACUUCAAGUAAUUUUGGGAUGUUGAAUAUGGGUAAUAAUGAUGAAGUUAAAGUACUUGGCAUUGGCACUGUUUAUUUGGAAAGUAACAAUGGUUCCAAAAUAGUUCUCAAUAAUGUUAAGCAUGCUCCAGAUGCUUGCUUGAAUUUAAUUUUUAUAGGAAACGUUGAUGAUGAGGGUUACUUUAAAACCCUUAGUGCUGGCCAGUGAAAUCUUACUAAAGGUUUCCAAUGAUUGUGGAUCGAGGUGACAAGUUUUCUAACUUGUACGUAUUUUAAGGCUCUACUUAUAGAGGCUUGAUAAACUUGGUGGAGAAUUAUAUUUCAUUAGAGUUAAGGCAUAGAAGGGUGAGUCAUAUGAGUGAGAAGGGGAUGAAUAGUUUGCUAAGAAAAAUUUUCUUUCUAGAGUGAAACAAGAAAAGUUGAAAAAGUGUAUUCAGUACUUAGUCGGUAAACAAAAAAAAGUUUCUUUUCAGAGUCAUCCGCCUUCAAAAAAGCAUGAUUUGCUGGAGUUGGUGCAUUUUGAUUUGAAAUACAUCUAUUUAGAUCAAGUUCUUGAUGUAUUCAAGGGUUUUUAGGCCUUGGUUGAGAGACAGAUAGGGAAGAAAUUGAAAUGCAUCUAUUUAGAUAAUGGUGGUGAGUACAUUGGUCCUUUUGAUAGAUAUUCAGGAUAUUCAACAUCAUAAAACUCCUUCAAAAACUCCUCAGUCGAAUGGUUUAGUGGAGAGGAUGAACAGAACUCUAGUUGAGAGGGUUAUAUGUAUGCUUUCAGAUACUAAGCUGCCAAAUUUCUUUUAGGCAGAAACACUUAAUACUACUGCUUAUGUUAUCAAUUUAUCUCCUACUAUUACUUUAAAUGGUGAUUUCCCUGACAGAGUUUGGUCUGGUAAGAAUGUUUCUUAUGAUCAUUUUAGAGUCUUUGGGUGUAAAUCUUUUGUGCAUGUUCCUAAAGACGAGAGGUCAAAGUUGGAUGUUAAAUCUAGGCAGUGUAUAUUUAUUUGUUAUGGUUAAGAUGAAUUUGGUUAUCCUUUGUAUGAUCCAGUUGAUAAGAAACUUGUUAGAAUCUAUGAUGUUGUGUUUUUUGAAGACCAAACAGUUGAAGAUUUUGACAAGGCUGAGAAGGUUCAUUCUCAGAGUAGUGAGAGCCUAGUUGAUGUUGAUCCAGUUCUUUUGACUAUUGCUCUUGAAGAAAAUCUUCAUGAUGAUGAAAAUUAAGUUGAUAAUGAAGAUGAUGAUCAUGUUCACAAUGACCAGCAAGAUAUUUUUGAUGGAACCAGUUGUUGAUGUUCCAGAGAGUUCUCUUAGAUGAUCUACUAGAAAGAGAGUACCUUUAUCUCAUUAUUCCCCCAGUGAGUAUGUACUCUUGACUGAUGGGGGAUAACCUGAGAGUCUUGAUGGUUUUAUGUUAUGGAAGAUGAAAUUAAAUCUUUACAUGAUAAUCAUACCUUUGAUUUGGUUAAGCUGCCUAAAGACAGAAAAGCUUUGAAAAACUAGUGGGUUUUUUAGGUGAAGCAAGAAGAUGUAUUCCACGGUACAAGUCUAGAUUGGUUGUGAAGGGAUUUAACUAGAAAAAGAGAGUUGAUUUUUAUGAGAUAUUCUCUUCAAUUGAGAAGAUGUCAUCCAUUCGUGUGGUUCUAGGCUUAGCUGCAAGUCUAGAUUUAGAGGUUGAGCAAAUGGAUAUUGAAAUUGGUUUUCUCCAUGGUACUUAGAUGAAGAAAUUUAUAUGGAGAAACCUGAAGGUUUUGAAAUGAAGGAAAAAGAGAAUUAUGUUUGCAAAUUGAAGAAGAUCAUGUAUAGUUUGAAACAAGUUCCUAGGCAGUGGUAUAGGAACCUUGGUUCCUUUAUGAGUCAGCAGGGCUUUACGAAGACUACUUUAGAACAUUGGGUUUUUGUGCAAAAAUUCUCUGAUGGUGAAUUUAUUAUUAUGUUGCUUUAUGUUGAUGACAUGCUUGUUGUUGCUAAUAAUACUUGCAAGAUUCAGAAGUAAAAGUAAGAGUUGAGUAAGUCUUUUUCAAUGAAAGACAUAGGACUAGCAAAGCAGAUUGUACGUGAUAGAAAGGCCAAAAAGUUGUGGUUAUAACAAGAGAUGUACAUUCAGAAAGUACUUCAACGGCUUAACAUGGAUAAGGCUAACGUUGUCAGUACACCUUUAGCUAUGCACUUCAAAUUAAGCACAGAGCAGUAUCCUUACAGUGAUGAUGAGAAGGAAGAUAUGAAAAAAUUUCCUUAUGAUUCAGUCGUUGGUAGUUUUAUGUUUGUAAUGGUUUGGAAAAGACCGGAUAUUGCUCAUGCUGUUUGUGUUGUCAGCCAUUUUCUUUCUAAUCCCGGAAGAGAACAUUGGAAUACUGUGAAGUGGACUAUGAGAUAUCUUUGGGGCUCUCCUAGUCUGAGUUUGUGUUUUGGUAUAUGAAAGCCGAUUUUUUUGUGGUUAUACUGAUUCAGAUAUGACUGGUGAUGUUGAUACUCGCAAGUUUACUUUAGGGUAUUUGGUUACUUUUAGAGAGGGAGCUGUAUUUGGUUACUUUUGCAGAGGAAGCUGUGUAUUGGCAAUCUGGGUUGAAAAAAUGUGUUGCACUUUCUACUACAGAAGCUGAGCUCAUUGUUGCUAUUGAAACUUGUAAAAAAUUGCUUUGGAUGAGAAGAUUCUUAGGGGAACUUGGUUGUGCACAAGAGAGGUAUGUGCUUCAUUGCGAUAGUCAAAGUGCUAUACAUAUUGGGAAGAAUUCUACAUUUCAUGGUCGGUCUAAACACAUUGAUGUGAGAUUCAUUGGAUUCGGGAUGUGUUGGAUUGUAAGUUGCUUGAACUUGAAAAGAUUCAUACACAUUAUAAUGGUUCCGACAUGAUGACUAAAUCUUUUCCAAUAGGAAAUUUUGAAGAUUAUUGCAUGAUCUUCGGGGUGGCGGUCCCCUCCACAUAGUCAGAAGGGAGAGAAUAGUUGGGAUAUGGGUCUUUGUCUCUUCCUAUGUAGAUAAAUAAAACUUAAUUGAGACCAACCCACUUUUAUCCAUAGGCCCAUUACUAUGGGUCAUAUAUAUAGAUGCUUUUUAGGUCUUAUUCACUAUCAUAAAAGAGAGUUUUACAAGCCACAAAAGAGAGAAAGAGAGCAGAUUUUUGCCCAAAUUUUCAGCCACAACUGUUAAAUUCAAAUUAUGAUUUCCGCUUCUUGUCCAAUUGAGCUAAUUUUUGGACAACUUGUUCCUCUAAUCUCAAUAUUUGAUUAGGAAUUGAUGGAGAUGGAUUUGGUGGCUUGUAUCUCCUGUUCUUUAUUACCGAACAGUAAUUGCAUUUUAGGUAUUUGUGCUCCUUUUUAUUCUCUAGUUUUGGUUCUAUCUUGUUGUGUUGUUGUUCAUUUUUUGGAACAUGUUUUGUGGAAAAUUUUGGAGAGAAAUAUUGUAGCUCUUGAUUAUUAUAGUAAAAAUUUGGUCUCAUGGUUUUUAUUCUUCACGCCAAAGGAUUUUCCACAUAAAUUUGGUGUCUCGUGUGAUUGCCUUUAUUCUUAUCCUAUCGUAUUUGUAUGGUUGAUAUAUUUGCUGCCUAUUAUCAUUGUUUUGCUUGGGUUUGUUUGUUUCCUCUUGGUUCAAGUUAAAGGUAAAAGUUUAGACCUGAGUAUUUUCCGUUGCUACCCUAUUGGACAUUUUGAUUGUGCCCUGCCUCUUUCCCAAUAACAACUAGAUGCUUAUCUCUUAAACAAUAGAUAAAAGUUAUAAACAGUCCUCUAAUGUUCGUAUUAUUUUAUUUUGACUUCUCAAACAAUCUUUUUUCUUAUUAAAAAUUUCAAUCCUAACAAAUGCAUACCGAUUAAACACUUCUAACAAUCAGAUAAAAAAUAAAAUAAUUGUGGGAUAUACGUGGAUAGGUGACAGGUUGAAUAAAUGGAGACAUUUGCCAUUUAGGUUCAAAAUAAGUACAAAAAAUAAACUUCCAAGUAUUUCAUAAAAUGUUGAAAUGCUAAAUAUCGCCCUAGUUUUUGUAUAACUAAACCAUUUUAUUCAAUCUCCAUUCUUCGGACAAUUUCGUCGUCCUAAAAGUGAAAGUAAAUGGUCCACCUACCCCUGCCCGCACCAAUUCAAAAUUCACGGGGAGCUUGUUCAGCCCAACUGCUCUCCCCUUACGCAUCCUAUCCUAGAAUAGCACUCUCAACCUCCUCAAUCUUUAUACAUCUAGAAUAUUCAAAUCAUUAUGCUUCUCUGGGUGCUCCAAGACCCCAAGCAACAUGUGUUUAUUUCCUUCUUUGUUCAAGGGUCUAUGAAAGUAUGACUGUCAGCACCGUGGGGGAAAAUUCAUAGCCUAGAAAUGAGGCAUUUUCUAAGAUUGGAGUGUCUAAUAGCAUGAAUGGUCAGUUAAAACAUCGUAAAAAGUGUACGAGUAACUUUAGAAAGAAGCCACUGUACAAACAUAAAAUUUAUUGGAUCAAAUUCUUAUUAAAAUUGAAUUUGAUCCAUAUUUUAUUAGAUCUAAAAGUAUUUUGGGAUUGAAAAAAUAAUAAGUCCAUUUUAUUCUUCAUCAAGGUCCAUCUCACUUUGAAGCCUAAACUCAUCAAGUGAUGUGUUAUCCCAGUCAAAUCCAAGACCAGUGAGACGCCGCCACAUGUACAAAUGAUGUGGAAAUCUCAUUCAAAUUCAAGAACCAGUCAAAAGGCACCAAGUGUCAAAGUGACACAUUUCGACAAAUCACAAGCAACUAGGCCUACUCUGUACAACUAUAAAUAAGGGGUGACAUAAAUUCUAAUGGGGGGGGGGGGGGCGAGGAUUCGAAAAAGAGGACUUUGACAAGCAUUGACAAUGUCAGCAUUGACUAUAAAGUUCUUGUAAAAAAGCAAUCAAUAGAGUUCUUCCCAGAAUUUAUACCAAAGUUAGAAAACAAUUUCCGAUAUUUCUGACGAAUGAAAUACAUCUCUAGGAGUCUAAAUCAUCCAUUGAUUCGAUAAACACUCUACUGAAGGACCUCAGAUCAUUUCUAAACUUAGGAGAUAAGAAUCAAGAGAACAACAAAAUUGUACUCACAAGACUCAUUUAAAUAAAAUUAUUCUUUUUGUUUAUUUUAUUUUUGGUUGCAGUUAAUUUUUAGUACCAUAAAAAUUUAUUGUGAACAAAUUUUGACACGCCCAGUAGGACAAGUUCUGUUCUCUAUCUCUUCCUUCUACAAAUUAAAAAAAACACAAAUUUAACUACUAUAAUGAACUUCAAAAAAAUCAAUGAAAUUUUGUGCAAGAAGUCUACUACUGCCACGUCUACUGAGUUCAAACUUUUUGGCCCCAUCAAUCGACGCAUAUCAACGCUUGUGCUUUGGAUGGUUCCUAAUACUUUACCUUUUUGGAGAUGACGAAAAGGAGAAAAUCUCAAAUUUCUAAUGUAACUACAGCACCUGGGGGCAACUUUGCAUCUAUGUUAUUAGAUGAAUUGUCUGCAACUUUGAAGAAUUUGAGGACUUAACGAAUUCUUCAACUUCAACGAAACUCAGCACCCUCAUGGUUGAUGUCGUUGACACGAAUGAGAAGUUGAUGGAGUAAACCAUUGAAGCCUUAAAGAAGUCUGCUGAUAAUAAAGAUCAUCAAAUCACUCGACUUAUGAGAAAGUUUGAUCUCUACAAUCCUGGAGAGUUAAAUUAUAAUCUAGCAUCAUAAGAAAAGGUUGAUGGUAAAUCUCAUAUCAAGCCAAGUGAAAAUCAACGCGUUGAUCAAUCUUCUUUAGUGUCCACUCUAACAGUUCAACAACUGCAAGAUAUAAUUAAAAACACCAUCAAGACACAAUAUGGCAGUCCGUCACAAAGUUUCAUAGGCUACUCAAAGCCGUACUCUAGAUGAAUUUAGGGCUUACCAAUGCCAGUUAGAUAUCAACCGCCAAAGUUUCAACAAUUUGAUGGAAAGGGAAAUCUAAGGCAACACAUCGCUCAUUUAGUUGAGACUUGUAGAACUGCUGGUACAUAUGGUGAUCUAUUUCUCAAGUAGUUUGUUCGCUCUUUGAAAGGCAACAUUUUUUAUUGGUACACGAACUUGGAGUCUGAAUUAAUUGAUUAUUGGGAGCAACUAGAAAGUCAGUUCCUAAAUUGUUUUUACAAUACCCGUCGUACGGUCAACAUGAUGGAGUGGACAAACAAAAGACAAAGUAAAGAUAAGCCGGCACUGGACUACAUAAAUCGCUGGCAAACAUUGAUCUUUGAUUGAAAUGAUCAACUUUUUGAAACUUUCGUGGUUGAAGUUUGUAUUCAGGGGAUGCAUUAGGGCCUUGUGUAUAUCCUCCAAGGAAUUAACCCUCAAACUUUUGAAAAAUGAGCUAUGUGGGCUCAUGAAAUAGAGCUAAGCAUUGCAAAUCAUAGAAUGACAUCACCUAUUUUUGAUCAUAGGGCAGCAGUCAUGAAAUUCAAAAAUUUGUCAGAAGACCAAAUUGGGGAAUCUAUGCCAACAACUGUGAGUUUUAUGAAGAGCUCCACAAGACAAAAAGUUAAAAGAGGAAGCUCUAAAGCAACAAAUUUGAGAGGUUUAAAAUCAACCAACCUUGAAGGAGUUACAAGCAAGGGUAUAUCCUUUCCCCGACUCUGAUGUUCCGGGAUUCUUGAUGAGUUUCUAGUCAAAGAAGUCAUUGAACUCCUUAAGUCAAAGCGACCUGCAGAAUCAAAUACCUGCAGAAUCAAACAAAGUUAAUGAUCCUAAGUACUAUAAAUUUAACUGCAUUGUUAGUCAUCACACCACAAAAUACUUCAGUCUAAAUGUAAGACCCCAAAAAAUUCUAAGCUUAACUUAGCCCUUAGAUCUUGAUAAGGGGUCGCGUACUUAGAAAUUUCAGCUAAGUGUUUAUACUUAGGAUUAUUUUUAGCCUCAUAAGUUGACGAUCCUUUUUUCUGACCUUGAAGACCUUAAAGUGUCUAUUUUUAGGUUGAUUCAUGAUUGGGAAAGUCAAUAGUUCACCUCGGGUGAGUUUUAGAAUUUUUGGAUUAGAGUAAGGGCGUGUUUGGAAUUAGAAAUAGUGGCUCGAGGCGAUGAGCCCAUGGUUCGUUGCCUAGAUCAGUGCUCUAGAGUUCACGGUGCCUUGCCUUGAGCGGCGCUCCAGAGCCCGCGGUGCCCUGGCUAGUCCGGCCUGUGUAUUUUCUUGCAGUUUUGUUUUGCGCUUUCAAGGUCAAAUGGAUCAUUUUUCCCUUCAUCCAAUAGCUCCAUAACAUAUGAUUAAAGCACCAAAUAGCAAAAUUUCUCAUUCUUUUCACAAAAUCCUCUCAAGAACAAGUCAUAGCUUCAUCAAGUUCAAGAAUCAAGCCUCAAUAACUCACCCCAAUCUCUACAAAAUUUACAAUUAAGGUAGUGUUCAUCUAAGGUUUUCCUUCCACCCUUGGAGUUCAAGAACCCUUUUGAAACUACAAGAUUAGUGAUUUUAUGAUUUACAUAUUUGAAUUUAAUUAUAUUCAUGUAUGUAUUGAUGUUUGUUGUUCAAUUCAACAUUGAAUUGCUAGUUUCAUGAAUGUAAAGUAGCAUGUGUGUGAUGGGUGUAAUUUCCAUGUCAAGAACCCUUGAAUUGUGAAUUGAUUGUUGUAGUCAUGAUAACUUAGCAUGUUGUUCAUGCCCAAAUAUAAGGUUAUGCCUCCUAUGUGUUUGUCAAAAAGCCUCAGUGAAUAAAUUGUGCAUGGUGAACCAUGGGUGAUCUAAAGGAUGAAUUCAUGCUAGAACUACAGGUUUAAAAUUACUCUCAUGUCAAAUCUAUGCCUUGUUAGUGUUUGAUGGAAUGUCCAUGUGAUGGGAAUACUUCGAUUAUGAUAUGUUAGCAUGUUUUUCCAUUCAUGUACAAUGUCCAAAUAUUUGUCAAAAUGCCUUAGUGAAUGCAUUAAGGACAAUUGAUUAUCAUUAUGUUUUCAAGAAUUUUCAUAUCUCAUUAUUAUUGAUGCAAUCGAAUCCUGGGGGUAUUUAUUACCCAAAAUCUAGCUGUUUACCUAGAAUUACAGUAACUACAAAAUAGACUUAGUAUUGUCACGAUAACUAGAGCCUAGUCAGUUACAGAACUUAGUAAACUCAGUCAAGCUCAAUCAAUCAACAUGAUCAGUGUUAGUUCAGUUAAGCCUAGUAUAGUUUAGAAAUUAGUUUAAGGUCUAUUCAUUUAGGAGUAGGAAUCAACACCGAGCGAACCAGGGAUGGGGGCAUUCCUUCCAACAUAGGGUUUGACCCUUAGUAUUAAUCCAUAUGUUAUAGAACUACGUAGAGAGUGUAGGUUGAGAUAUCUUCCUGCCAGACUAGGGUUGAUACAUCUCACAUGAGUUUUCAUUCUAGUGAGUGUUAACGAAAGUGCUUCCUGUCAGAGAGGGUUAAUUCACAACUUAUCUUUACCCAUGGCACAAUAUUGACACCCUUCCCACUGGGUUACAGGUUAGACCCCUAUCCAAUUAGAUAGGGGCAUGUCAAUUCGAUAACUACCUCCCACAAUUUUAGUUUCAGUCUGUAUAUAGAACUCAGUUCAGUUCUACAGAUUCAGGACUGUCAGACACAGCCACCCAGCUCAGUAUAGAACUUAAUUCCAUUCUAUAGAAUUAGGACUGUCAAAAAUAAACACUCAGUUAUCAGUACUAUAGUAUCAGUAAACUCAGAUAUCAGUUAAUCAGUGUUCAAAAUUUAGUAUCCAGUGUUAACAUGACCUCAGUUAAAGUUUAUAUAUUCAUGCAUGUACUCUCAUUUGGUUACGUCUAUGUUUCUUAGCCAGUUAUUAUUUAUGCAUAUGAACCCAUGCAUAUCAGAAUUCUUCCCCAAAAUGCUCUUUGAUGCACGAGCCUAAAUUACAAGUCAAGAUGCUUCUCAAUACAUGAGGCUAAACUACAAGUCAAAAUGCUCCUUGAUGCACAAACUUAAAACUGCAAUUCAAAAUGCUCCUCGAUGCACAAGCCUAAACUGUAAGUAAAAAUGAUCCUUGAUGCACGAGCCUUAACUGCAAGUCAAAAAAUCUUAUUGAUGCAUGAGUUUAAACUGCAAGUCAAAAAUGCUUCUCAACACACGAGCCUAAACUGUAAGUCAAAAAUGCUCCUCAACACGCGAGCCUAAACUACAACGCAAAACUCUCUUUAAGGCACGAGCCUAAAUUGCAUGUCACUCCUGGCCUGCAUGAUUCUGAACUAUGAACAGCUUGCUAAAAGAAGAAGAAGAAGAAGAAGAAAGAAAAAUAAAAAAUAAAAAAAGAAACUUUUAAAAAAGUGAAUUAACUCAUCAUUCCUGAACUACGUUAUGACUUAAUCCUCCCGAGGUACGUAGGCAGCUUAGAGUAUUUUUACUCUAAGUUCAGUCAUAUGAGUUAAAAGAAUAAAAAAGGAGGAAAAAUGUGUGUCAUUAUUUGAGCACGACAAUAAAACUUUGAAUUGACAUAGAUAUUACAUGAGGAUAGAUGUUCCUUUACUAAUUUUACUGCAGUCGUGCAAAGGUGAAGAGACCAGCAAGGCAAAGAGAAUUUCGAUAAUAUAUUUAUAUAAAUUCGUAAAGGUGUUCACCAUUAUUUUUACAUAUGUGGUAGAUCUUAGAGACUUCUCCGCAGCAAAAAAGACGACUCAUGAUUUAAAGGCUCCUACGACAAGGUAUGAAUUUUCUAUCAUAGCCGCUCAAAGUUGGAAAAUAGGCCAACUGAUUCAGAACUAAGCUAACUUUGAUGAUGUAUAUAUAUAAAUUCGUAAGGGAGUUGCAUGUGGUUUUUAUUUUUGGAGUUCUAUGAAUCUAAUUUCCAACCAAAAAAUGACACCUGAUUCUGAUACUCAUACGUCGAGAUACAUAAUUUAUCAUGACGCUGUGCAAAGCUGAUAAAACUAAAACCAAGAUUAGAAGAUCGGUUUUGGGGCAAUAUCUAGGAUGAGUUGGGUGCAAUAUGAUUGUAAUUCUCACUUGAGAUAUGACUCUACGAGUCUAGUUUUCAAUGCAAGAAAUGAUACGUAAUUUUGAUACUCCUACGUCAAAAUACAGAAUUUGUUGUGAUGCUGCACAAAGCUGAUAAUUAGAAAAAACCAAGAUUAGAAGAUAGGUUUUGGGCAAUAUCUUGGAAGAUUUGAGUUUAAUAUGAUUGUUAGUCUUGAGUGAGAUAUAGAUCUACAAGUUUAGUUUCCAACACAAAAAAUGGCUCCUGAUAUUGAUACUCCUACGUCAAAAUAUGAAAUUUAUCGUGAUGCUAUGCAAAGCUGAAAAAACAAAUGUAUCAGGACAUUGAGUUCUAUUUUUAUGAAUCAAACAACUCAUAUUUUUGUUCUCCCAAUGGAGAAUAAAUAUUUUUGUAGACAUGUUCCUAGUGCUUGCUCACUAAAGUCAGAAAAGGCUACUCCCUGUAUCAAUAUUAUCAAUCUGGAUGGCACCACAUACGUGCUCCUUGACAAGAAUGGGAUGCUAUCACUUGAAGACUCUUUAUCUCUGAGCCUCAUAGAUGAGAUGCAUCGCAUGUUUGCUUUGCAAGGAUGGAUUGCAGACACUUAGAACUUUAUCAUCAUAAGGACACAAGAAUAACACCAAGUACAUGCUCACUGAAACUAAAAAGGAAACUUUUAGCAUUGUCAAGAAUGAAAUUAGAUCAUUCCAGGUUACUUUCUUAUCAAGCAGUAAGGAAGUAAUGCACCAAAUGAUUCAACAUCAAUAAUGUCAACUUUUUUUGGUCUGACAUCAAGACCAUUUAUAUAAACCUGCACAAAAAAUAAAGAUGUAACACAUCUACAAUGUUCAAUGGAUGAAGCUCCUCAGUUCUAUGCGGAUCAAUGCAAACUAUGUGAAAAUUCAAUCUGGCAGUAUGUGUUGGCACCAAAGGCACGAUGCUUUGAUUUGGCAUGAUCAACAUUAAGAGAAACAUAUCAUUUUAGUUCAACAUGGAUCAUAUCAAUGUCUAUUAGCAUGAAAUUAUAUUUUCAACUAUUGAUCUUCUAUGUCGAGAUGCAAGGAGUUUUCUAUUCCAAGACGUAAGAAAAUAGGCAUAAAUUUUCUAUCCAAGGAUAGAAAAGAGUUGCUCCGAGUGUCCAUUUCCAAGUCGUGAGAGGGAAUAUUGCUCACCAAAUCCUCAAGAAAAUGGGUGAAGCACAUAUGUUUCUCAUUGAAAACUGGGACUCAAAAAAAUGAUGCCUCAAGUGGUUCCUGACCAAUCAUCAGGACAAUAUUUGUAUAUGCUUGGUCUGAUAUCGACACCACUUGGGAUUUUUCAUGAACAUACAAAAAGAAAUGCAAAGAGAAGUAAUCACGAACAUGCUAUAUCUGGAGUCACGACAUAACAACUUAUAGAGUCAACUUCAAAAAUUGAUUUCCGUCAGUAUAAAAGGAGUUUGACAUUGAUUUUUAGAUAUGGUGCAGCAAUUCAAGUCUAGUCUCUUCAAAACUAAGCCGCUCUACAUUUGGACAUUCUUACAGUCAGAUAUGAUUUUUACUCUGUAAGUGUUUGAAGUUGAAAAUCAGGAAAGACACUUCAUGUACUUUUUUAUCGAUGUUUCGAAGAGAUUAUAUACUUUGUGUGGCAUACACUAAUGCUGCCAAAAGGGUUGAUGUGCACCAGCAAAUUAUUUUUAAAUACAUGGUCACAAAGAGGCCAAAGGAUGUCUUUCCAAAGGUUACAGAUUUCAAAAGAUUGUGGUUGAUAUGAUUUCAUAACAUCUCCUUAUAUAGCGGCUCAUAUUAACAAUUUUCAGUUCAUGUACAAGGAAUAUUGUUAUGAAAUUAGAAGACUAGAAUCCCUGAGAAUUUCAAAUUGCCAAUUAGUUGAAAAAUUACCAUAUUGAGGAGAUUUCUUUGGAGGUGACUUUAAUUAUUUUUUGAAAUCAAAAGGAAAGUAAAUGUUUUUUUUCUUUGGUACAUGAAACAAAAAGGGAAGAUGAUAUUUUUCUUUGGUACAUGAAACCAAAAGGAAAGUUAAUAUUUUCCUUUGGUACAAAAAAAGUCACGUCAAAUUUUUUACUUAAUCCGUUCAAUACGUCAAGUGAAGGGGUUGUAUUGAUCUUUUUAAUUCAAAUAAAAUGAGAGGGUCACAUUGUUGUGCAAGUAAAAAUUACUUAAAUAAAUAUUAAGGCAGUGAUUUCUCAUGUUCAUACUUGUCCAAGAAGAGUAAAAAAAUAAAGUUGGUCAUUUUUUAUACUCUUGAAAUAAUAUCGAGUUUGUACUCGAUUGUGGGCGAAAAAUGAGAAUCACUGUAAGACCCCACAAAAUUCUAAGCUUAACUCAGCCCCGUAAAGCUUAAUAAGGGAUUGCAGACUUAGGAAAAUUUUUGCUAUGUAUUCAAACUUAGAGUUAUUUUAGCCUUUAUAAGUUGACAAUCUUAUUUCACGAUCCAUACUACCUUUAAAUGUGUAUUUUUGGGUUGAUCGUGUCCCCGGACAAGUUUCAGGUCUUUUGAACAUCGUUUGAGGCACGUUUGGAGGUCCAAACUAGUGGAUCAAUGUAAUCUCAACACGCCUCAUCACCUUUCGAGUUGAUAAAUGUUAUCCCCAGUGCCCAUUUUUAAUUUUUAGUGAGAUACGUCGUCCAUUAUGUCAACCCCAUCGACCCAAUGCGUCGAUUUGCGCAUCACUAAGUCAAUUUUCAGUCAUUAAGAUUCCGCAUCCUUAGGGGUGAUUGGGUUUUUUUCCCAUGACUAUUCAGCCCUAAAAAUACAAAAUUCAUCCCUCCCUAAGAAAAUUACACUCAUUCUCUGUAAAAUUACUCAAGAACAAACCUUAGGGAUUUCAAUUCAAGAUUCAAAUCCCAAUAAUUGCACUAUCAAUCUUCAAGAGUUCAAGAACUAAGGUAUGUGAAAUGUUCAUCCAAGGAUUUCUUCCAUCCUUGGAGCUCAAGAAACUCUUUUAAACUUCAAGUAAUUUGAUUUCAUGACUUUUGUAAUUGGAUUUAAGUAUAUUCAUGAUUUUAAUGUUAAUUGGAUUUCGAAUUCAUGGUCUAUUACAAGUUUCAUGUGGAAUCUAUGAUCAUGUGUAUAGUAUCAUGUGAAUUCAUGUUUAAGCCCUUGAAUUUAUUGAUUUGGAAAUUGAUGUUAUGAUGUGUACAUGUUGUUUGUAUCAUGGGUAUAAAUUAUGUCCCACAAUGUGUUUGACAAAAUGCUUAUGUGAAUUGACUAAUGAAAGCAAUACCUGUAUUAUGUGAUUCUAUUCAUGCGUGAGUUCAUGUACAUCAAACACUUGACAAAAUGUCUAAUUAAAUGCAUUGUUAGCAAGCAAGUAUUAUUAUGCCUCUAAUGUAAGACCAUGUUUACUUUUUAUGCUAUCGAUUCCUAGAGGUAUUUCAUACUUGAAAACCCAGCUAUUGACCUAGAGCUAUAGUAGUUAUAGAACAGUCUCAGUAAUAUCACAAAUAGUUGUACUCAAUAAUCAGGAAUAACCUCAAUUCAGACCUCAGUAAACUCAUUCAGUUAACAGAACUCAGUAGUAUUCCGUCAUUCAACAGAACCCAGUGAACUCAGUUCGGUUAGAUAGUACGAUCAGUUUCAGCUAAAUCAAGUCAAGUGAAGUCUAAGAAUUAGUUCAAUGUCUAUUCGGUUGGGAGUAGGGUUCAGCAUCGAACGAGAGCAGGGAUGACAUCUUUCCUGUCAGAUAGACAGAGUCAUUAGUGGCAAUCCCUGUACUCCAAAACUAUGUAGCCACUACAGGAUGAAGAGUCACCCAUCAUACUAGGCUUGAGUAGCUCCCAGGGGUCACCCGUUAGAUUAGGCUUGGCUCCUACCAGGUGUCACCCAUCAGUUGAGUUUGGCAUUCUGUUCUUUCUAGUGUUAGUACCCAUGACAUGGUAUUAUCACCCUUUUAAUUGGGGUCAUAGGUUGGACCCUAUCAGUUCAGAUUUGGGGCAUGUUGAUUAGAAGAAUACCUCCCACAGUUUUAAUUUUAGUCUCAGUAUAGAACUUAGUUCAGUUCUACAGAAUCAGGACUCUUAGAUAUUGUCACCCAACUCAGUAUAGAACUUAGAUUAGUUCUACAGAUUUAUGGCUGUCAGAUACAGUCACUCAGAUCAGUAUAAAACUCAGAUCAGUUUUACAGAAUCAGAUCUAUCAAAUAUAGUCACUCAGUUAUCAGUUAUAUAGUAUCAAUAAACUCAGAUAUCAGUAAAUCAGUAAUCCAGAACUCAAUAUCCAUUUUUAUCAUGACCUCAGUUAUAGAUUAUGUAUUCAUGCAUGUAAUCUCAUUCAGUUAUGUUCAUGUACUCAGCUAGUUAUUAUUCAUGCAUAUGAACCCAUGCAUAUCAUCCUACCUUACUUAGAAUAUUAGCAUAUUCAAAGUACUGACGCAUACUUUUCUUUAUGCUAGGAUGUAUUAUAUCAUAGGUUCAGAAACAGGGAUCCUAACCGUACUUAGCAGCACAACCAUUCGGCAACGGACUUAGUGGUGAGUCCUUAUAGUUCGAGGAUAGAGUAUUAUUUUAGUAGAUCAAUUUAUUCCAGUAGUUGGAGUUAGUUGGGGGCUUAUCCCAUCAACUCCAUAAUUUAUAUAGUUAGAGCCUUUCAGGAUAGAGUAUUUCAGAUCGAUAUUUCAGUAUUUAAUUUUUAAUAUUCAGUAUUGUUUUUCAAUUAUGAACCUUAUGGAAUUUUUAGCCUACCUUCUGUAUUCAUUUUAGAAAUAUCAUUGUUGUAGUGUUAUUAUUAUUUAGUGCCUACAGCAAGUACCAGUCACGGGUUAGCUGGUAGUUUUUAGGUUUGCUAGCACCGUGUAGUGUCCAGAGUAUAGACUUUGGGGCGUUACAAACUUGGUAUCAGAGUCUAAGGUUUAAUAGAGUCCUAGAAAGUCUGAAAGCUACAUAAAGUAGUCUUGUGCAAGGGCGUGUAGCUCACCACACUUAUGAACAUUUGGCUACGAGAUGUUUAGGAAAAGUUUCCCUUCUUUCAGUAUUCAUGUCGUACGAGUGAGCAUAAGCUUAAAUUAAACUUUCAGCCCAAUCCUUUCUUCCUUUCAUUACAGAACAUGUCUCCCAAGAAGAAUAGAAGAAGGACAGGAAAUUAGCCAUCCCCUCAGCCCAUCUAGACAAAUUCUCUGGAUGAGCAUGUCUCCCAUGCGGAAUUCAAAGCUGCAUUUACUUCCUUAUCCAAUUUAGUGGCAGCCCAAAAUGAAUGUCCAACUGCUGUUCUGGCCAACCCAGUGGCCAAUACUGCUGUAGCAAGAAUUUAAGACUUCACUUGAAUGAACCCUCCAUCUUUUACCUAGUCUAAGUCAGAUGAGGACCCACAAGAAUUCCUUGAAUAGGUCUAAAAAGUCAUAGAAAUUAUGGGAGUGACUACUAGUGAGAGUGAUAAGUUCUCUGCAUAUCAGUUGCAGGAUGUAGCUCACUCAUGGUUUAAGUAGUGGAAGGCAGAAAGGGUCGUAGAUGCAGGGCCUGUAGAAUAGGAGGAGUUUCCCACUGCUUUUCUUGAUAGGUUCUUCCCAUAAUAUUUAAGCGAAGCAAAGGUUUUGGGAGUUUAUAAAUCUAAAGUAGGGAAACAUGACAGUAUCUGUGUAUUCUCUCAAGUUUCCUCAGUUAGCCAGAUAUGCCCUCAUGUGGUAGCAAAUAGCAGAUCUAAGAUGAGUAAGUUUGUGUUCGGUAUGUCUAAUAGUGUGGUCAAAGAGUGUAGGACCGCAAUGUUGAUUACAGAUAUGGACAUAUCCUGGCUCAUGGUCCAUGCUCAACAGAUAAAAGAGGCUAAGAAAAAAGUGAGAUAGAGAAUAAGAGAGUGAGGACUGGUAGUUUCAACUUUGCUCAGCCUAAGUCAGAGGAUGGAAAUCAUUCUCAGUUCCAUUUGAAAUCCUCUGUUCUACCUCUAUCCUUAGCUAGUGCUCAAGUGCUAAAAUUUAGAGAUGGAAAUAGAGAUAGGGUAUCAGGCCCUAAACCCCUGGGUAGUGUUAGAAGUGCUUGAAUGAAUCCUCUUUCCCAAAAAUAUGGCAAAAACCAUUAGGGUGAGUGUAAAGCUGACAUUGGUGUGUGAUUUGGGUAUGGAAAGCCAGGCCAUCAGAUUUGAGAGUGUCGAGUAGUUUCUCAGAAAGGUAGGGAGUUAUGCCAAUAGGGCCAGUCCCAUCAGUCUUCAGUUUUAUUUGGUCACCCAACUCAGUAAGGUGCCUCUUCUAGUGCUACCAGUAGGAAUUGCCCAAACAAACUCUACACACUUCAGUCCCGACAGGACCGGGAAAGUUCUACUGAUGUGGUCAAUGGUACGUUACAAGUUUAUCAUUUACAUGUUAAUGCCUUGUUAGAUCUAGGAGCUUCCUUGUUCUUUGUAAUUUAUUUUAUAGCUGUUGACUUCGGAGUCAAUCCUGAAAUCCUAGCAGAGCCUUUUUCAGUCUCUACUCCAGUGGAUAAAUCUAUCAUAGCCCGACGGGUAUACAAGAACUGUCUGGUUAUGGUAUCUUAGAAAAUCAUUUCAGCAGACUUAGUAGAGUUAGAGAUGACAGAUUUUGAUGUCAUUCUCUUCAUAAAUUGGCUUCAUUUAUGCUAUGCCUCAGUUGACUACAGAAAUAGAAUUGUCCAAUUUUAAUUCUCGAAUAAACCUAUCCUAGAGUGGAGAGGUAGUACUUCAGCACUUAGGGGUCAGCUUGUUUCUUACCUUAGGUCAAGAAAAAUGAUAUUUGAGGGAUGAUUCUAUCAUCUCAUUUGAGUUUAAACUUUAGUUCAGAGACCCCUAAUCUUGAAUUAGUGUCAGUAACAUGUGAAUUUCCAGAUGUGUCUCCCAAAGAUCUUCCAAGAGUUCCUCCCAAGGGAGAAAUUGACUUUGGAAUCGACUUUCUUCCAGAUACUCAGCCCGUAUCUAUUUUUCCAUACAGAGUGGCUCCAGUAGUACUCAAGGUGUUAAAAGAAUAGUUGAUGGACGACUUAUCAUACCCUGUGUGUCCCUAUAGGGUGCACCAGUUCUAUUCAUGCGUAAGAAGGAUGGUUAUCUCAUAAUAUGUAUAGACUACUGCCACCUAAAUAAAAACACGGUCAAGAACAAGUAUCCCCUUACCAGAAACAGUGACUUAUUUGACCAACUUCAGUGUGCUAGUUAUUUUUCUAAGAUAGACCUCAGAUCAGCCAAUCAUCAGCUUAGAGUCAGGGAAUGUGACAUCUCAAAAACAUCUUUCAGAACUCGAUAUAGUAACUUAUAAUUCUUAGGCAUGUCAUUUGGUCCUACCAAUGCCCAGCAGCUUUCAUGGACUUGAUAAACCCUGUGUUCAAGCAGUACUUGGACAUGUUUGUCAUAGUCUUUGUUGAUGACAUUCUUGUCUACUCCUGCAGUAAACAUGAUCAUACAGACCAUCUCAGAAUAGUGUUACAGACUCUCAGAAACCAUCAGCUACUCGCCUAAUUCGGUAAGUGCAAAUUUUUUCUAAGGUCAGUAGCUUUCCUUGGCUAUAUCAUUUUCGGUGAUGGCAUUAUAUUUGAUCCCUAAAAGAUUGAAGCACUGAGGAACUAGCCCAGACCCAUCUCUUCAUCAGAUAUUAGGAGUUUCUUAGGCUUAGCUGGUUGUUAUCGAUCGUUUGUUGAGGUAUUUUCAUCUAUUGCAUCCCUAUGUCCAGAUUGACUCAGAAGAAAGUCAAAUUCUUCUGAGAAGAGUUUUCAGGAGUUGAAAACUCAACUCACUACAACCCCAGUGUUGACUUUACCAGAUUGUUCAGAAAUAUUUGUGGUAUACUGUGAUACUUCUAGGGUUGGUUUGGGGUGUGUUUUGAUGCAUAGAGGUAAGGUCAUAACUUAUGCCUCUAAACAGCUUAAGCCCCACAAAAAUAACUAUCCUAUUAAUGAUCUUGAGUUAGCAGCAGUAGUAUUUGCCUUAAAGAUUUGGAGGCAUUAUUUGUUGGAGUGCACGUGGAUGUGUUUACUCACCAUAAGAGCCUGCAAUAUUUAUUUUAUCAGAAAGAUCUAAACCUUUAUCAGAGAAGGUGGUUGGAGUUGUUGAAAGACAAUGACAUAAGUGUUUUGUAUCAUCUGAAAAAGGCCAAUACAGUGCUUGAUGCUCUCAACAGGAUGUCUAUGGGUAGUGUUGCUUAUGUGGAUGAUGAUAAAAAGAAGUUAUCCCAAGAAGUUCAUUAGCUUGCCCUACUAGGUGUCUGUUUAGUCUGUAGCGCCCUAAUUUUCUAAACUGAAACGCUAAAUGGUGCUCAUGAUGAUACUGAUAGUAAUUAACCUAGUUAAGAUCAUUCCUAUCCAGCAGGUGAUCCUGGAGUCUAUUUAUAAUAAUAAGGAUUAAUUAUAUCUGACAAUCUUAAAUCUGUGCUAUUGAGUUUAUUUGACUAUAUCUGACUGUCCUGAUUCUGCAUCUAAAACUAUGGGAUAUAUUUAUCUAACCGAUAUGCCCCUUUCUAUCUAGUCUGGCGUCCAACCUAUAACCCCAGUUGGGAAGGUGUCAGUAUCGCGCCACUGGUAAAGACAACUGCUGUGGAGUCAAUCCUAAUCUAGUAGGUGACUCCUGGGACCAGUCUUAUACAUUUAAAUAUACUAACGGGUGAUCCCUGAGUAUGUCAGUCCUAUCUAAUGGGUGACAUCUCGUACCUACACUGGCUACAUAGUUUUGGAACUUAGGAAUAUCUUCUAGAGAUCUCUGUCCUAUCUAGCGGGUGAGCCCCCAUUCCUAGGUUUGCUCGAUGCUGAAUCCUACUCCCAACUGAAAGACACUGAACUGAUUAACUAAAUGGUAUCAUUUAGCAAAGCUAAACUGAGUUUACUGAGUUCCUUUAACUAAAAGAAUGUACCGAGUUUUGAGAAAUGACUGAGAGUACUGAAAUUACUGAGAUUACUAGGAAUACUGCUGUUAUAGAGAUUACUGAGUACUGAGAUCGCUGAGAUUUUGAACUACUAAGAUUACUGUGAUUUCUGAGUUUUUUUGAGUCAUAUGACUGACUGAAUUCUAGAUCAUGGCUUGACUGAGAGUAUCAUGAUAGCAUGACAUGGUUCUAGGCACACAACUAUAUUUUUUAUGUACAAGUACCCCCAGGACUCGAUGGAAGGAAACUGGCAAGACUUGACAAUUCUUGAAUACACAAUCAAGAUCAAUAAUUCAUAAUACACUAACUUGGGAAUUUCAUACAACACAUGGUUAUCAUAGUCUUGUUCAUGAAUAAGAACGCAAACAUUCAUAGCAUAAUUCCAUACUUUAACAUCAUGGGCAUUCUAUCAACAUAGGCAUGGCACAACAAUAAAUACCCAACAAUAGCAUAGAACUUGUAUUGAAUCAUAAGGAGUAGCAUGGACUUGUCAUUUAAGUACUAUUGAGUCAAAAUAAACAUGAUUUUAUCAUUCUAGGCAUUUGAUCAAACACCUUACAUGCACACUUUAUGGCAUAGGUGAAAUCAUCAACUUAACCAUCUUAAACCACCCAAAACUCAUGGGUUUCAACUAACUUGCUCACAUACUUCAUAGAAACACAUUAAGAUACCAUCUUGAAUCACCAAUAACAACCAUCAACAUGAACAUAAUCAUACAACACAUAUAAAUCAUAAUUUAUUAUUAAAAACUUUGUUCUUGAGCUCCACUGAUUAAAGGGAUCCGUGGAUGAAUACUAAGCAUACCUUAUUUCGUGAAUCUAUAAUGGUUGACGGAGAGACUUUCUUGAAAUUGGAUCUUCUAUGAAAACCCUAGCUUGUGUUCUUGAGAUUUUUUGAAAGAAACUAUCAAUAUUUGAGUGAAGAUAUGAGGAAUCUCAUGUUAAAGGGUAUAUAUAAGGGUUGGAAGUUUACAAUUUUGACCUUAGAAACACUAAUUGGAUUGCUGAAAAUUGGCCCUGGGCUAUAGCUUGGGCGGUGCCCUACCUAGCCCGAGGGAGAACCAUAUGCGGAGACUAGCUACAGCGGUGCUGUAACUAGGGCAAUGCCUUGGCUACAACGGUGCUGAAAGCUGGGCGGCAUGGGCUAAACGCCUUUUGCUACUGGUUUGGCACACCAAACGUGCCCUUAUAACGUGCCCUUAUGCUACUCCAAAAAUUGUGAAACUUGCCCGAGAUGUACUACAACCUUGCCUGUGUAGAGGUCUAAAAUGACACUAAGUGUUGAACACUUAGAAGAAAUUUUCUAUCAAAGAGCGUAAGGAGCUUAACAAGCUGAUUUUUACAUGCAUGAUUUUGCGGAGUCUUACAAUAUCCCUCCGUUGGGAACAUUCAUCCUUGAAUGAUACUGACUAAGAGGGAAAACAAUGAGUUGAAAUAUGAAAUGAACAUGAAUGACUAAAAUGUGAUCUCAUGACUGACAGACUGAUAAAUUGAUUCAUACUGAGCAUGCAUAUCUGAUGCAUGUGUAACUUAUUCUUGAAUGCAUAACUGAGCAUUCUGAUAAGCUGAGGUUCUCACAAUGAGAGUGCAUGUCUGAUGCAUGUAAGAUCUGAAACUACUCAUAAGAUAAAUUCUCAUAAUGGACAUGCAUAUCUAAUGCAUGGAUGUGUGACUGAGUUGUUCUCAUGGAUGCAUGACUGGAUAUACUGAUAAGAUAAAAUUUCUUUAUUGAACAUGCAUAUCUAAUGGAUGAAUGUCUGACUGAACUGACUCCUAGAGGCAUGACUGAUUAUGCAAUGGUACUUGAUAACAAGUUUAUAACGGGAACAUGUGCAUGAAACUGAAUACCAAAUUUGUACUGAAUACUGAACAUGAAGCUGAAUAAGCUUAAAGAGGAUUGUUACCUUAAACAUAAAUUCUAAUGAACCUGAGAUUGAUUACUAAACAUGCAUGAGCAGAAAUAUGAGAACAUAACUAAGUAUGAUACGUGACAUAUGAACUGAACAUCAUAAGCUGAACUGAGCUUCUGAAUACUUGUCUUUCGACAGAGAUCUAAACUUGAGGGUUAACUUAUGAGUGCCCUCUACUCAAAUUGGAUUCGUUAUGUGAAGAGAAACUGAAUGAGUUAAGACAUGAGAGAGUUAAGGGUUUAUGGGGUAUCUCCCCCUUAGGACACUAUAUCCUUCUAAGAACACUCACCUUACUAAGAUACUAGGGCGAUGUACAGGUCAUCUAUGAACUAGGUUAUAACUAAACCUCAGGAGUCUGAAACUAAUGCAUGAUGCAUGAACUAAACUACACUUACAACUACUAGGAGGUUCUACCUUGGAAUAGUUACAUUCCAUAAGAUUUUGGAUAGCAUGAAUAGAUGCAAGGAUGAGAAAACAAACUAUACCAAUCUAACUUCUUGAUUGGUAAACUGAUUUGAUGACUUUACUAACUAACUCAUGCUGAAACAUAAGCUCAAAUGAGAGAAAAAGAUCUAACAAUGAAUACCAUAAAUAUGAAAGACUUGUUACAUACCCAAAUCUAGGUCGGGGAAACUUUUCAGAUCAUGACGGGUCUGGAGUGUAUAAAGUCUAUUCUGACGCUGACCACUCUUGGUGCCCUGCUGACAUAAAUCUUUACCCCCUGUCCUAUAACUCUACAUUCUUUCAUCAAAUGCUUGUCUUACUACACAUAUUAUAUGCUUUUGCUUCUUUAUAGACUGCUGAUGUCACAUCUCCUAACUCAUAUCCCCACCUGGAUACUUAAUUUCAAAUCAACUAACUUAAAUUCUUGCAUGCACUAUUCAAGCCUACUGAAAUCUAUGAAAUAUUUCUAGCAACUUGCACAUCAAUAUAUCAUUCAAGCCUAUCUUUAGGACUAAAGCCUAGUAUAAAAUAGUUAUGAAACAAUCUUUCCAUAAUCAUGGAACAUUUAUUCUCUCCCAUCUAGGUAACUGCUCAACAUUAAAGAGGGUUUAUUGAAAGGUUAAGAGAAAUCUUGGGACCUAACUGAACAUAAACAUGAGGAUGAGAGACUCAUACGUCCCUGUAACUAUAUCAGGAGAACUUUCCUGAUCUUAUCUAGAAAGAAGUGCAUCAAGCCUAUAUGGGCGUUGCCCACUAGAUUAGACUGAGAAACUGACUUGAGAUUAUGCUGACUGGAAUGAUAUGAUUACUGAAAGAAGGAAAACUGUUCCUAAAAUAUCUCAUAGCCUCCUGCACAUAAAUUUGGCGCACAACACACCCAUGUAAAAAACUCUACUAGAUGCGGCGUUCAAACUCUUAGGCUCUGAUACCAAGUUUGUAAUGCCCCAAUUUUUUGAACUGGAAUGCUACAUGGUGCUUAUGACCCUGAAGGACCACAAGCUAACCCAUGACUGAUAUCUAUUCUUGAACACUGCAUAAUAUAUGAAUAUAGAUGUAAAAUUAUGAACUAAAAAGCCAUAAGAUUCAAUACUGAAUAUAAUCUGAAUCAUAACAAUGUCUGCAUAAAGUGGUAUCACAAUACCAAAAAAAAAACUGAGAUACUAAAGACUGAAUCUAGUCUGUAAUCUAGUCUACAUAUAGUCUGAAAGCCUUUACUAUUUGAAUAAUCUGAAUAAGGAGAUGAUGGGACUUGUCUCCAACUAACUCCAGCUCAUGAACUAAUCAAUGAGAAAAUAAAGAAAUAAUCAUGUCCUCGAAGGAUGAGGACUCACUUCUAACUUUGACUGCUAAAAUUUGCAAUGCUAUUGCUGCUCUAGAACUUAGUCCUCUAAACCUAUAGCACAAAAUAAAACACCAUAGCACGAAUGCGUUAGUACAUCUGAAUGUACUGAGUAUAUGAGUGAGGUAGGCUAAAUACAAAGGGGUUUAUAUGUAUGAAAAAUGCAGACUAAUAUGAACAUGAGAAUACAUACAUGCAUAAGUACUAUAACUGAACUCAUGGUAAUAUUGACUACUGAGUCUAUAUACUGAUAACAUGAGUAUACUAAUACUAUGAUACUAAAUAGGUGAACGACUAUUUCUAACAGUUUGUAUUAUAAAGAACUGGUCUAUUUACUGUGUCUAACAGUCCUGAAACUGAAUAUUGAUAACGUGAGUUGUAAUGACUGAUAUAAAUGAUAUGACUGUGAUGAUCGGCAUAACCGAUGUAACUUAUACUAAGCGAUUGUAUCUAAUAGUCUAAGUUUUGAUUGAACUAUCUGAGUUUUGUUCUGUAUAGAUUAACUAAUUCUGAGAUCAGUCCUAUCUAGCGGGUGAUCUCUGAGUAUAAUGAUAAUAAAGAUGAUUUGACAUAGUCUUAGAUCAGUCCUAACUAGUGGGAGAUCUCUAAAUAUUAUGAUAUUGAUACUGAUUGACCUUAGUUGAGAUCAGUCCUAUCUAGUGGGUGAUCCUGGAGUCUAUUUAUAAUGAUAAAGAAUGUCUAUAUCUGACAAUCUUAAAUCUAUGCUACUGAGCUGAUUUGACUAUAUCAGAAAGUCCUGAUUCUAUAUCUGAAAUUGUGGGAUGUAUUUAUCUAACCGACAUGCCCCUUUCUAGCUAGUUUGGGGUCCAACCUAUAACCCAGUUGGAAGGGUAUCGGUACUGCACCACUGAAAAGACAACUAUUAUGGAGUCAGUCCUAAUCUAGCGGGUGACUCCUAGGACCAGUCCUAUACAUUUAAAUGUGCUAACGGGUGAUCCCUAAGUAUGUUAGUCCUAUCUAAUGGGUGACAUCCCAUACCUACACUGGCUACAUAGUUCUGGAACUUAGGGAUUGCUUCUAGAGAUCUCAGUCCUAUCUAGCGGGUGAGCCCCCAUCCCUAGAUUUGCUCGGUGUUGAAUCCUACUCCCAACUAAAAGACACUGAACUGAUUAACUAAACUGAACUGAUUAACUAAAUAGUAUCAUUUAGCGAAGGUAAACUGAGUUUAGUGAGUUCCUUUGACUGACGGAACAUUCCGAGUUAUGAGGAAUGACUAAGAGUACUGAAAUUACUGAGAUUACUAGGAAUACUGUUGUUACUGAGAUUACUGAGUACUGAGAUCGUUGAGAUUUCUAAACUACUAAGAUUAUUGUGAUUUUUGAGUUUUCCUUAGUCACAUGAUUGACUGAAUUCUAUAGAUCAUGGCUUGACUGAGAGUAUCGUGAUAGCAUGACAUGGAUCUAGGCACACAACUAUAUUUUUCGUCUACAAGUACCCCCAGGACUCGAUGGAAGGAAACUGACAAGACUUGACAAUUCUUCAAUACAUAAUCAAGAUCAAUAAUUCAUAAUACACUAACUUGGGAAUUUUAUACAACACAUGGUUAUCAUAGUCUUGUUCAUGAAUAAGAAUGCAAACAUUCAUAGCAUAAUUCCAUACUUUAACAUCAUGGGCAUUCUAUCAACAUAGGAAUGGAACAAUAAUAAAUACCCAACAAUAGCAUGGACCUUGUGUUGAAUCAUAAGGGGUAGCAUGGACUUGUCAUUUAAGUACUAUUGAGUCAUAAGAAACAUGAUUUUAUCAUUCUAGGCAUUUGAUCAAACACCUUACAUGCACACUUUAUGGUAUAGGUGAAAUCAUCAACUUAACUAUCUUAAACCACCCAAAACUCAUGUGUUUCAACUAACAUGCUCACAUACUUCAUAGAAACACAUUAAGAUACCAUCUUGAAUCACCAAUAACAACCAUAAACAUGAGCAUAAUCAUACAACACAUAAAAAUCAUAAUUUAUUAUUUAAAACUUGGUUACUAAGCUCCAUGAAUGAAAGGGAUCCAUGGAUGAACACUACGCAUAGCUUAUUUCGUGAAUCUAUGAUGCUUGACGGAGAGACUUUCUUGAAAUUGGAUCUUCUACGAAUACCCUAGCUUGUGUUCUUGAGAGUUUUUGAGAGAAACUAUCAAUAUUUGAGUGAAGAUAUGAGGAAUCUCAUGUUAAAGGGUAUAUAUAAGGGUUGGAAGGUUACGAUUUUGCCCUUGGAAACACAGAUUGGAUUGCUAAAAAUUGGCCCAGGGCUAUAGUCUGGACGACGCCCUACCUAGCCCGGGGGAGAACCCUGGCGGCACCCAAAUAGAGCGAUGCUAUAACCAGGGCAAUGCCUUGGCCACAGCGGUGCUGAAAGCUCAGUGGCGCUGGCUAAACGCCUUUUGUUACUGGUUUGGCACACUAAACGUGCCCUUACGCUACUCCAAAAAUUCCAAAACUUACUCGAGAUUUACUACAACCUUGGCCCAUCACAACGCAACUUGAAAAUUAUAAAAUAGGGGUCGGGAAGGUCAUCAAAUAAAUCCCCAAAGUUCAGAGGUCUAAAAUGAGACUAAGUGUUGAACACUUAGAAAAUUUUUUCUAAGUGUUGGAACCUUUAAAGAGCGUAAGGAGCUUAAUGAGCUGGUUUUUACACGUAAGAUUUUGCGGGGUCUUACAUAGUCAAUUCAAUAGAAGGUAGUGUAUGGGUACAGAGUAGUUCAGAAUCAUCCCUGGUCUCUAAGGUAAAGGAAAAGUAGGAUAAGGAUCCUAGUCUAGUUAAGUUGAAAGAAUCAAUUAGAGCUCAGAAGGUAGAAGUUUUCUCCCAAGGGGGAGAUGGUGUGUUGCGUUGCCAGGGUUGACUAUGUAUGCCAGGUGUGGACAAAUUGAGGCAACGGAUUCUUGCAAAAGCACAUGGUGUGCAUUAUUAAAUUCAUCCAGGGGCCACCAAACUAUAUUGCGACUUACGAGAAGUCAAUUAGUGAAGUGGGAUGAAGAUAGAUAUUCCAAAGUUUGUGGCUAAGUGCUCAACAUGUCAGCAGGUUAAGAUCGAGCAACAGAAGCCUAGUGGAACCUUGCAGGAGUUUAGUAUGCCCACUUGGAUGUGGGAGGAAGUGAACAUGGAUUUUGUGAUGGUUUUACCCCGUACUUGUCAUCAGCAUGAUUCAGUUUUGGUCAUUAUAGAUAGAAUAACCAAAUUAUCUCAUUUCUUACCAGUCAUACCUCUUAUUCAGCCAAGGAUUAUGCCAAGCUCUAUGUUAGAGAGUUGGCCAGAUUUCAAAGAGUUCCAUUAUCCAUCAUUUAAGAUAGAGGUACAUAGUUCAUCGUUCAUUUCUGGAAAGCCUUCCAAAAGGGUCUUGGUAUCCAAGUUCACCUCAGUACAGCCUUUCAUCCUCAGACAGAUAGUCAAGUAGAAAGGACCAUCCACAAUUUAGAAAAUAUGCUAAGGUCGUGUACCAUUGACUUUAAGGGUAGUUGGGAUGACUAAUUGCCCUUGAUUGAGUUUGCAUAUAACAACAGUUACUAUUCCAGCAUUCAGAUGGCUCCGUUUGAGGUGCUUUAUGGGAGGAGAUUUAGAUCUCUCAUUGGUUGGUUUGAAGUGGGUGAAGCCACAGUAGUAGGGCCUGACUUGGUAUUUGGUACCUUAGAAAAAUUUCAGUUGAUCAAGGAAUGGCUUAAGAUAGCCUAGCUUCGACAUAAAUCGAAUGUCGAUGUGCGCAAAAAGGAUAUCGAGUUUGAGAUUGAUGGCUUUGUGUAUAUGAAAAUCUCUCUUAUGAAGGGAGUGAAGAGGUCUGUCAAGAAGAGGAAACUCAUUCCCCAAUAUGUCGGUUCUUACUGAAUUCUCAGUCGUUUCGGAAAGGUAACUUACGAGCUUGAGUUGCCUUCAGACUUAGACUCAGUGCACCCAGUGUUUCAUGUCUUUUUGCUAAAGAAAUGCAUAGGUGAACCAGCCGUGGUAGUCCCUAUAGAGGGCAUAAAUGUUCAGAACAAUCUCUCUUAUGAAGAGGUUCCAGUCAAAAUCCUCGAUUAUCAAAUUUGCAGACUGAGAAACAAAGAAGUCCCUUCAGUCAAAAUUCUUUGACGGAAUUAGUCUGUUAAAGGAGCCACUUGGGAAGAAGAAGCAGAUAUGUAGACCAAGUACCCUCACUUUUUCCCUGCAAACUUAGAUUCAACUCAAGGUAACAGUUUUUCUUGAAUUUAAUUAGUUCCAUGUUCAGAUCUCUAUCAUGAGUUUAAUAUCAGUCCAGUUGCAUAGCAUUCUCAUAUUAUGCUAAUCUUCAUGAAGUAGCUCAGUCAUAUGUUAUGCUUUCAAAAUUCAAUCAUGCUUAAGAUAUACAUGUUGCAUGUUCAGUAUGAAAAUUCAGUAUUGUUUUGACGAAAAAUUUUGACUUUUUGAAAAGAGUCGCCACUUAAUUUUGAAAAGGAAUUAAGAAACCUUAAUAAAAUACUUUAAAUGAUCCAAAACAGAAAAUCGUUUAAUUUAGAGAUUCCAAAUGAGUGGUUCCUAUUAACAUUUUAGGAAGGUGUUAGGCACCUAAAACGUCCGCUAACUUGCCGUUAUCCGGAUUGUUUGAAAAUGUCUUUGAUUAACUUCUAAAAGAUUAAUUUGUUAAAAAGUGAUUGAUUUUUAGAAAAAAGAUUCGUGUAAAAAUAGUUUUAGACGACCUAAUAGGGAUUUUAAGUAAGUCUACACAAAUGAAAUAAGCAAGUAAACACAUAAACGGGGAAAGGGAGGAGAAAUUAAACGAUUUAGGCCAUAGGGCCCAAACCAACAAAACUUGUCCUAAUCUAAUUAGGUCUUUGACCCGUUUCACCUAUCUUACUCUAGUUUUAGAGCUUUUGGCUCGAUUCUCGAUCCACCUAUAUUAAAUACAACUUUGGCUUCAUGGCCCAAAUGAAUAACUAACAAAAUAAGUAAAUAAAUACGACAAUAAUAAACAACAACAAAUAAAUAGCAAUGAGGCUUGAGUCACGUCGUCACUUCAAGAAUGGGACUUUAACCCAUUUCCCUUCUUUCAAAUCCUUAUGUCCAUAUGCGCUUUGUGUUUUUAGGUCUUUAAAUUUGACUCAAGACUAGGUGGGCCUCAAUGGAUCAUAAGGAACAUACAAAUGGAAAGAGAGUCCGUGCGAGACUCGAGCGUCACCACAUGCAAAAGGAAAGAAAAGGAAUUAAUGUGUGCUAACAUUAAUGAAUAAGAAAAAAUGCAAAGAUAGCAUACAUCUUCCUCAAGAGUAGGCAAUAAACUAUAUCAAAGCUAGUUUAACAACGACAAAUUCAUCUUUGAUGGCAUACAUGGAAACAACACGGGCAGUUACCCAAGUUUUCAAGUAUAUGAAUACAAAUAUAGUUCUAAAGUAAACAACACCUAACGAAGAUGUGUAAGAAUAACUUCUAUUCCCAAAUGUACUCGCUAGACUGAUGAAAAGAAAAUCCAGGUUUAAUCUAGCCGAAAUAGAAAUCAGUAAUUGUAAAUACAUGCACAGUAUAGCCAGCUCAAAAAUGCACCAUUUGAAUAAUACACUCACAAUGAGGGAAUCGAGCAAAGCCAAAAUUUUGAAAUCCAGUAUCCCAAGGGAUCACAUACUCAAUAGACAAGAUAAAUUACAGUAUUUUCUAUUUCUAGGCAAUAUCGAAUUGAGACGGUGAGGAGGGACGACACUCCAGAACAAAAGGAAGUAGACUACUUUAUGAGAGAGAUGCGAAAGAAAGGAUGUGAACAGUAUACACAGAUGCUCAAUAAGGUAAAUUUUUCUGGUAAUGAUUGUAUUUGAAACAUACAAGACUGAAAACAAGAAAAAGUUAAUACCUUUGUAAACUCAAGUGUGUAUAUAUACAUAACUUUCUUGGUAUGAAGACGGUAGCAACUAUAAAAGUACCCAAUUAUGGCUAAAAUAGUAAUGAAAGUGAAACAAAUUUACACAUUUCAAAGCAAUAUCGAGACUACAUGCAUAUUCAUAAUGAUUUGCGACGACUGAGAAUUAAAGCAAUGGACUUUUUACAAAGAAAAGGACGAAACUAACAUAAGACAGACAAUAUGUCAACUUGUUAAAAAACACCAUCUUCAUCACAUAAUCCUAUGGCCUUUGAGGCAGACUACAACAAACGACCCAGCCUACCAUAUCACUAAAAGCUAAUAACUUAAGAGGUUUAAACAAAUCAGCACACUAUGUCACUAAAAAAAAACUUACAACUUUAGAAGUUUAAAAUGAGUCAGAAAUAAUCGCAAGUUAAAUAGGAUGAAAUGUCACCUGUUUCAGAGCAACGAAACGGGACGAUAAGCGGGUAGGGAGAUCACGACCACCGGAAAACUUCUUCACCGUCAACCCGAGACUCUAAUUUAGCUAACGAACUUUCAAAACUAGAAUAAGAUUUAUACUAAAGAAUUAAUUUCCCCCUAUUUCAAACCGGAAUUCCCUUAUUUAGACCACAAUCUCGAACCUUCUCAGUUGGAAUUUUUCUGAACCUAAGUUUUGAAUUCAGAAAUUUCCAACCCAAGAAUUUGUAACCCAAGAAAUUCCUCUAAAGUUUCAAACUGAUCCCGAGAAGAAGAAAAAAAAAAACCCUAAAAUUUUUCAUCCUAAUUCUCAAACCCUUAUUUUUUUACUCUAGAAUCUCUAACUCCGAAAACAGUGACCCAGACCUUCUUAUAUAGAAGACAAAACUGGGGUUUUUUUUAAGGAAUUUCCUCAGGGGAAUUCGAAAUUCAAAAGAUUAGGAUCCAACAGAUUCUAGCCCCCCCAUUUUGAUUUUUCUUCAACAAAUCCAUAACCAAUGGACCAAUUAGAAUUGGGGAAAACCAAUUCUUCUUCAAGACCAAUGAAAUUCUACCAAAUAUGUAUGAAAAUCACACCAUUAUCUGAGAUUCACGGGAUUGGAACAUUGGAAGGAGCCAACUCACCAUAUUCUAGAAGGUUCAAGGCUAUUCUCGUAUGAAUUUGCAUGGUAGGGGCACGUAAUUGAUGGGUUAAGUUCAGGUCGGUCGUGGGUCAACAGAUUUGGUUUGAGAAAAAUGAGAAUCGGGUUGAUUUGGAAUUAUUUCGGGUUGAGAGGUGUUGUCGUCUGCUGAUGUUGUGAUUUGGGAGCUGAUGUUGUUUGAUGUUGUGAUUCAGGAAUUGACGUUGUUGCUAAUAAAGAGAAUAAGGGGCACUUGUUGAUGGUAGGAGGGGUCAGUUUUUAAAUGGGCCAAUAGGUUGGGCUGUUGUUGAUGGAUAAAGAAGAAAAGAAAAUUGGGUCGUUAGUCUUAGUUGGGGUAUGGGCUGCUGGGGUUAGGUUGAAUUUAGAUUGGUGAUUAAAGAUAAGAAAUAGGCUGAAAUUGGGGUUAUAAUUGAAUUAAGAAUUAGCUAAAUCCGUUUAAAUUUUAGCCAAAUUGAAAAUCAAUUAGCCAAUUGCAUUGCAAUUAAGGCCAAUUUGAUUUCAAUUAUAGCUAAAUUUAAUAGAUUGGCCAAAUCAAACCGAAAUUCAAUACAAAUUAAUACCUCACUUAAUCCCGAGCUUCUUGAUUUAAUAAAUCAAAUACACAUUUAUCCAAAUAAAUUAUUUUUGAGAUUAAAUUAUACUUGAAUCUAGAUUUUAUUCUUUUGAAAUAAUUUUCAAGCUCAGUCUAAAUAACAUUUAAAUUUUGAUAAAAGUAUUCAUUUAAAUAACAAAAUUUAUACAAUCUCGUGUAUGUGAAUACGAAAAUGUAUAACAGUCACUUAAAUGAUGAAAUUAACCCAAAUAAUAUUUUAAAGUGCAUUUAUUUGGAAAAAAUAAUUGUUGUGAUUUUAUUUGAAAAUCAAAGAAACUCGAGAUUAAACGUAGAUAUGGAGGGCAAAAAUUAGGUGUCAACAACUGCCCCCUCCCUUUGGGUAGAGGAUGGAUUCAAGUAAUCCUAGGCAAAGGGAGGUUGGUGUUUCUAAUUUUUGUUCGACCACAAAUUUGUAUCUAAGGGAGGUUGGUUUUCCGCACGAGUUUCAUGGAGUUAUGGCCGAACCUUGGUAUCAGGUUUUCUACAUAUGUCAGGUUUCAUGAGAAUUUAGGCCACUUGUAGUUCAUAGAGCUUGAUUUAUAGCACGAUUUUCAAAAAAAUUCACAAGAUAUCCAAGUGUAACCUCUUAACCAUGAAUGUGGGAUCCUUCACACCCAUAGAAAAGAACUUACCCAGACAUAAUUUCCCAGCACUAAGUAUGUUGUCACCUGACUUUGAAAGAAAGAGAAGGUUACCCUCGAUAUGAGUUUAGAAAUAUCUCAAAGGUGAAGCAGAAACCAGAAUAUCCCUAAAAUACCCACAUGCCUUCUAAUUGGGGUGUGGCUAAAUGGUGGUGGCGAUUAUCCUUUAUUUCGCAUCCAGAGAGUUUGGCGUCCCUCUCUAGACUAUGUCCCAUUUUGCUGCUAAGAAAGAGUUUCACAUUGUGCUGCAUCCUUUUUGGAGUCGUCCGUACCUAUGGUUUUGACUUGAGAUUUUUAUCCUCUUGGAUUCUCUCAAAAAUGCUUCAAGAAAAAAGUGUUAGUACUAAACAUUUCACGAAAGAGGUAUGUAGUCUUUUACCAUAUCUCCACGUGAGUUGUUGCCUGAGAAACUGAGUAAUAUCUUCAUGUACCUAUUUGGAAUGAAAUAACUGGCAACAAAAAACACAACAAACCUCUUGCUUGUUGUAUAAUUAUGCCAUUUGUCAGUUGAAUAUGUCUUCAAAGUGGGGUGGCUCUUUUGGAUGCCAAUAAUACUUUAUGAAGAAUGGUCCCUACAACCGUGUAAUCUUGUGCUGGUGUGGCAACUCUCUUGGUUACCUAUAUCACUUGUUGUAUGUGGAAUGAUAACCUAUCCAGUUAUAGCCGAUGAUUGAUUUAUAAAUUUCCUUUAAAUGGUCCAUCUUUGGGUGAUCUUACGCAUUAUUUGAUGUUGGAUACGAGGCGACUUACAGAUAUCCUUUGAGUUUCUAGAUUUUAGGUAAUCCUGCACAUUAUCUAACUUUGGAUAAGAUGUGGCUUACAAAUAUCCCUCCAAUCGCUAGCUUUCAGGUGUUCCUGCAAAUUAUCCGACCUUGGAUACAAUAUGACUUAUAGAUAAUCCCUUAAAUUGUUAGUCUUUGGGUAAUCCUGCACAUAAUCGAUCUUGGAUAUGACGUGGAUUAUAGAGAACCCUUGGACGUAUCAAUUUAAUAAUCUUACAUAUUCUCCAGUAAGGAUUUAGUUGCGACUUAUGGAUAACCUUUGAACUAUCGAUUUUUGGGCGAUCUUGCACACUAUCCGGUUAGGAUGUUGUUAUGGCUUACGGAUGACCUACAGGAUAUCAAAUAAUAGGUGAUCUUGCACACUAUCCUAUUUCAAAUAAUAUGACUUAUAGAUAACCCUCAAAUUGUCAAUUUCUAGGAAAUCUUAUAUAUCAUUCAUCCUUAGAUAGCGACUUAAAGGCAUCCCUUCAAAUCGUGUGCUCUCGAUGCAUUUAGAUGAUCAUUCAGAAAAUUAUAAGAUAUCCUCGAUGCCAGCGUUUAUGUCUUGCGUGUCAACAGAUAUAAAAUAAGGAUGAUAUCCUUGACGUCAGUGUUGUGUCUUGCGUGUCAAUAGAUAUAUUGAAUGCUGAUGAUAUCCUCGACGCCAAUGUUGUGUCUAGAAUUAGCAAAUAUUGAAUAAUAAUGCUAUCCUCGAUGCCAGUAUUGUGUCUUGCAUGUCAAUAGAAAUAUUAAAUGCUGAUGAUAUCCUCAAUGCCAGCAUUGUGUCUAGCACGUUAACAGAUAUUGAAUGAUGAUGAUAUCCUUGACGCCAACAUUUGUCUUGCGUGUCCACAGAUAUAUUAAAUGCUGAUGAUACCUUUGAUGCAGCAUUGUGUCUAGCACAUCAACAUAUAUUGAAUGAUGAUGAUAUGCAAUGGCCCUCUUGGCAAUGACAUGCAAUAGUUCUUCCGAUAAAUUAACAAUAGUUUCACCUGAAACCAUUUGUCAUGUUCUUGCUUUCUGCAUAUACGUGUACUCAAGGUAGACGAUUAGUAGACAUAAAGUCGCUUUUGCUAGCGACUAUUUUUUUUUAGAAAAAUUCUAAAUACAAUAUUUGUAAAGAAGACAAGACACUUUUGUUUGUCCUCCAUGAUCUCAAGAAAUGAGAUGGACAAUUCGAAGGGUCGUCAAUAAAUGGGUGUUGAUCCAAUUUUUGGGCUACCAAAAGUACUGUUAUUAAGACUUAUAUGCUCUUUCAUGGCUCCCGACUUGCUUGGGGAUUUUUUGAAAGAAACACUCAUUUUGUGUAUCGAUCCCUACAUCCACAAAAAUGAUUAAUUUGAAAGAAACUACUCCGUGUUGACCUCCUACGAUCCUUGAUUUUCCCUCGCCAUCUUUUAGGUAUUUCAUCAUGUUGGGACUUCCACCCCUGAAUCCCUGUCCUAAUUGAUGUCUAGGCAAUCACUAAGUAAAAGAUUUAUAUAGAUUUUUUUGAAAGUACUCUUAAUUUUUUAGAAAAUAGUUUCGAGAACUCCUGUAAAAAUUUGAAAAAUCUUUGCCAGUCAUGUCAUGUGCUAGCUCAACGACUAUCUUUCUCUUGAUUCUGACAAUGUUCGAUGUUUUACGGAGGAUUUUUAGGGAUUCAAUAUUGUCGAGGCUCUCUACCAGAAGUUUUAUCAAAGACGGAGAUUCAAUCUUCCUAGACUUUAUUGCAGGUGAUGAUCCUUAAAUCUCAACUUUGGCCUCUAGUGCUGGGGAAUUUGAAAUAUAUUUCAAUAUUUGGUGGAGAUUUUGAGGCCUUCCUGAAAAUUUCUGCCCCAGUUUAAAGUAGUGUGAGAUGAUAUCAUUUCGAGUGGAUCUGAAGUCUUUGUUGGUCUUCAUUCUCUUUGUUGAUUUUCUCUUGUGAAUUUUCGAGAUUCUUUCUCAAAAAUUCUGCCCCAGUUUCUCUUUUUUGGGGUUAUAUGACCGAGCCGUUGGGACGCCUAUGUAUCCCAUUGAAGCAGGAAUCAGGUCAAACAUAGUUCAAGACUACGCUAGGGAUAUAUAUAGAAAAAUCUAAUGGGUUGACCGAAGCUGAUAUAGACCGCCUACGUAUCUCAAUCUUGAGAAUUCAGGUUAUCACGUAGUUCAUACAUAGAGGGAAAGGAUAAAUUUUCCUAAGGGGUUGACCAAAGCCGACAUAGGCCGCCUACGUAUCCCGUUCUUGAGAAUUCAGGUCAUCACAUAGUUCAUACAUAGAGGGAAAGGAUAAAUUUUCCUAAGGGGUUGAUAGAAGCCGACAUUUGCCACCUACGUAUCCCGUUCUUGGGAAUUCCGGUCAAACGUAGUUCGUACAUAAAGGGAAAGGUGUUCUAGGCAAUUACACAUCAUAAAACACAUUAUUACACGUUGAUUACCGAUAAACUAAGAACCAAAAAACUAUAACGCCCUUCAAACAUAGUAUCCUUUCGCCGUAUCAGAAUUGAUUGGUUUGGUCCACUCUUGGCCAUCCAUCCUAGACAAAAUCAGAUCCCCUACCUUGCGAACUAUGUAUGGACCUUGCCAAUUUGGAGCGAACUUACCCUUGUACUUUUCUUGGUGAGGGAGUAUGCGUUUGAGAACUAAUUGCCCAACUUCAAAUGUUCGAGCUCUCACUUUCUUGUUGAAAGCAUGAAUCAUCCUGUGCCGAUAUAACUGACCAUGACACAUGACAGCCAUUCUCUUUUCAUCAAUCAACAUGAUUUGUUCACAACGAGCAUGAACCCACUCUUCAUUACUUAGUCUGCCUUCCUGAAUAAUCCUCAGGGAAGGUAUUUCAACCUCAGCAGGUAUCACAACUUCAUUCCCAUAAACCAGCAAAAAGGGAGUUGCCCCGAUGAGGUUAGAACUGUUGUGCGAUAUCCUAGAAAAGCAUAAGGUAACAUCUCAUUCCAUGAUCUAUCAUUUUCAACCAUAUUUCUCAAGAUCUUCUUGAUGUUUUUAUUGGCAGCUUCUACGGCUCCAUUCAUCUAUGGACGAUAUAUGGUCGAGUUGCGAUGCAGGAUUUUGAACUAAUCACAAAUUUCUUUCAUUAUGUGACUUUUCAAGUUUGCCACAUUAUCAGUAAUGAUUGAUUUCGGUAUUCCAAAUCGACAAAUCAAGUUAUUCCUGACAAAAUCUGCAACCCCUUUCUUAGUGACGGCUCUGUAUGAAGCAGCUUCAACCCACUUAGUGAAGUAAUCAAUAGCAACCAAAAUAAAUCUAUUCCCAUUUGAUGCCGAUGGGUCUAUUGGUUCAAUAACAUCCAUGCCCCAAGAUACGAACGACCAAGGUGAAUUCAUUGCAUGAAGUUCGUGUGGAGGCAUUCAAAUCAAAUCUCCAUGUGUCUGACAUUUUAGACAUCUCUGCCAUACUUACUACAAUCAUUCUCCAUAGUCAUCCAGAAGUAGCCGAUUCUCAGGAUCUUUUUGGCAAGGACAAACCCAUUCAUGUGGGAUCCACUAAAUCCUGCAUGUAAUUCUUUUAUCAAUUUAUUGGCUUCCGCAGCAUCGAAGCAUCUUAAAAAUCCUAAGUCAGGCAUCCUCCUAAAAAGAAAUUCCCCACUUGGAAAGUAGUCUUUUGCCAAAUACCGGAUUGUUUUCUUUCGGUUGUUGCUGGCCUCUUCAGGAUAUAUUCUAGAUUCUAAAUACCAUUUAAUGUCAUAGUACCAUGAAUUUCCAUUGGGCUCCUCUUUAACACGUGCACAAUGCGCAGAUUGCUCCUUCAAGCUUAUUUCCAAAGGAUAAAUGUAACUCUGAUCUGGGUGCCGAAUCAUGGAGGAUAUAGUGGCCAAAGCGUUAGCAAACUCAUUUUGUAUCCUUGGGAUAUGUCUGAAAUCAACUUCUUUGAAUUUUCCACAUAAUUCCUGCACCUUCUCAACAUAAAGAGUAAUCUUGGAAUUUUUUACCGCCCAUUCUCCCCGUACCUGGUGAAUCAGCAAGUCUGAAUCCCUGAAGACUAGAAAUUCAUGAACACCCAUAUCAAGUGCCAAUUUGAGACCCAGGAUACAAGAUUCAUAUUCGGCCAUGUUUUUGGUGCAUGGAAAAUGCAACUUAGCAGUUAAUGGAUAAUGUUGACCCAUUUCUGAGACCAACACUGCUUCGAUUUCUGAACCUUUGAAGUUGACCGCUUCAUCAAAGAAUAACCUCCAUCUAGGGUAAAUUUUUGUAAUGUCUUCUCCUACGAAUAGAAUUUCCUCAUCUGGGAAGUAAUUUAAAAGUGGUUCAUACUCAUCAUCAACUCGAUUCUCUGUCAAAUAAUCUGCCAAAGCUUGCCCCUUGAUUGCCUUUUGAGUUAAAUACAUGAUGUCAAACUCGCUCAGCAACAUUUGCCACUUGGUUAGCUUUCCUGUGGGCAUGGCCUUUUGGAAUAUAUACUUCAAUGUAUCCAUUAUCGAGAUGAGGUAUGUUGUGUACGAAGAUAAAUAAUGCCUCAACUUUUGUGCGGCCCAAGUCAAAGUGUAACAUGUCCUUUUUGCUCAAGUAGUAAAUGGAUUUCUCUUUCAUACUAGUCUCAUCAUGUUUCUCGAGGAUACAUUUAAAAGCAUUUUCUUAGUUUGACAGGUAAAGCAAUAAUGGAAUUACUUCUCUUGGUGGAACCAAAACCGGUGGUGAAGACAGAUAUUCCUUGAUGCGGUCAAAAGCUCUCUGACAUUCUUUUGUCCACUCAUUCAAUGUAUUUUUCUUCAACAUCUUGAGAAUUGGCUCGCAUAUGACUGUCGAUUGAGCGAUGAACCUGCUAAUGUAAUUCAAACGACCCAUGAAACUCAUAAAUUCCUUCUUGGUCCUCGGUGGUGGCAAGUCCUUAAUCGUCUUGAUUUUGGAUAGGUCUAGCUCGAUGCCUCUUCUACUGACUAUGAACCCCCGCAACUUCCCUGAUGGCACACCAAAAGCACACUUAGUAGGAUUUAACUUCAAACUAUACUUUCUUAAUUUAUUGAAGAAAUUCUCCAGAUGAGUCAGAUGAUCCAGACUCACGUAGGAUUUGAAAAUUACAUCAUCUUUGUACACCUUAAUCUCUUUAUGGAUCAUAUCAUGGAAAAUCAUCGUCAUAGCCCUCAUAUAAGUUGCACCCACGUUCUUGAGACUAAACAACAUUACCCUGUAAUAAUAAACACCCUAGGGCAUAAUAAAAGCUGACUUUUCUGUAUCUUCCUCAUCCAUCAAUAUCUGAUGAUACCCGGCGAAACAAUCAAUGAAGAACUGCAUUUCAUGCUUUGUACAGUUAUCGAUGAGGAUGUGGAUGUUUGAUAAUGGAAAAUUAUCUUUAGGACUGGCUCUAUUCAAGUCUCUAUAGUUAAUACAAAUUCAAAUCUUGCCAUCCUUUUUCGGCAUGGGGAUGAUGUUGGCCAACCACGUCAGAUAUUUUGUGACCUCUAUAACCUUAGACCAGAUUUGUUUUGUCACUUCUUCCUUGAUAUUUAGACUUAAGUGUGGCUUGAAUUUUUGCAGUUUUUGCUUGACUGGAUCAAACUCUGGAUUUAUCAGCAACUUAUGCGACACAAUACUGGUGCUCAAUCCUAGCAUAUGAUCAUAGGACCAAGCAAACACGUCAAUAUAUUCUCGCAAUAGGUGAAUGAGCUCUCCCUUUUGUUCUUCCGCUAAGUGGACGUUGACAUUUGUUUCUUUGAUUUCAUCAUGAUCUCCGAGGUUGACUAUUUCAGUUUCCUCUAGGUUAGGCUUUUCUCAGCUCUCAAACUCCUCUAUAUCUUCAACUAAUUGUUCCUCAUCACCGUCCUUCCAAUCAUCAUUAUUCCCUUCAUUUUGUUCAUCUAAGCUCUGACAUGACAUAGCAUUAGCAGAUUUUAAGUUAUUUUUACUAUAAUUGACAAACAAACCAAGUUAGAUAAUAAUGAGAUAUAAUAGAAUAUACGAAUAGGAAUGUUUUAGGACUAAUAAAAAAUUUUAAAUGAAUGAAGUCUUUUUCAAUGAAAUUUGCAAGAUAAUUACAAAACCAUGGCUCAUGACUCGCACAAAUACAAGUCCAUUCCUUUUUGAAAGCAGUAAAAUACAAAAAGAAAGUUUUAAGAUAUAAAGGGUGGAUCGCGGGGCCUCCUCCGGAUCAUCACCGAUUUUAAAACUAUUAGUAAUUGCCCUUUCAUCUACCAUGACGGUCAAUGGGUUAUGAGUGGAGUGGAGGUCCAGUUUUGCAAGGCCUCCCCUGGUGCAACCUUCUUCACCCCGCCGGACUUUGGGAAAUAUUCUGGUACAAAAUUGCAUCCCUCGAACAAAUCUCCUAUCCCAUUCUCAAGACCAUCAUCAUUCGACACCUCCCGUAUAGGAAAUGGCUGGUACAGGAGCAGAAAGGGCACAGACUCUUAUCUGAAUUAUCCUCAACCAUAUCCUUCUCGGUAGGUUAAUAUCCUAACCUAUACUAAGAGGCUUUCUCUGGGAUCAUAACAGGAUCAAUAACUCCUUGUAGAUUCUUACCCAAACCCCGACUAGGCUCAAAUUUAUUUCUUAACAUCACCAUUGCAAUUAUUUUGUAGACAAAAGGCAUUGAAAAUUUGAGUGUCAGAUCCUUCUCCACAGCAUUUAUAAUUUUAACCGUAUAAAAACUACUACCCUUUGGAGCAUCUUUAAUCACCGGCACAUAACCAUUGGGAUGAUCCACUCGGCUUCCUUCCCCUUGGAUGACUACUUCAUGAUCCUGCCAAAUGAACUUUAAUAGUUGAUGAAGGGGUGAUGAAAUGGCCUUUGCACCAUGUAUCCAUGGUCUUCCCAAGAGCAGGUUGUAGCUAGGAUGAAUUUCCAUAACAUGAAACUUAGUUUUGAACUCAGCAUGUCCCAUUUGGAUGUACAAAUCAAUUUCUCUUAUGGUAUCUCUCUGCCCCCCAUCAAAUGCUCUCACAUUUACGUGGCUUUGACGAAUUUUUUCUAAAUCAUAGCCCAUUUGAACCAAUGUGGAUAGGGGAAAAAGUUCACACCAGAUCCGUCAUCUAUCAAUACCUGAUUUAUUGGAUAGUCUCAGCAAAUGAUAGUGACGUGCAAGGCUUUGUUGUGUAUAGCUCUCUCAAAUUGAAACUCUUCAUCACUGAAUGAUAUGCGAUGAUUCCCCAUAAUAUUUCCUAUCAUGGCAGCCAGGUUCUCAACACUUAUACCUACAGGAACAUAUGCUUCAUCCAAGACCUUUGAUAAAGCUUGUUGGUGGUAUUGCAAACUCGUUAAUAGUGCCAAAAUGGAGAUUUGGGCUGGAGUCUUCUCUAAAUGUUUGACAAUUGAAUAAUCUUUCGGUUGCAUAUGCCUCCAAAAUUCCUCAGCCUCCCCUUCAUUGAUUGACCUUUUUUAUGAAUCUUUUUUGUUGGUCAAUUCUUCAGAGAUGUAGCAUCAUCCCGAUUGCGUCAUCCCUUGGGCAGCAGCGGUCUGUAAAAUAAAUUCCUUCCUUGGCAGGGGAGUGUACACUUGGAUCGGGGCCAUCAUCACUAUAAAUGGGGUUUUCUCGUUGACACUUAAGGCAACCAAAACUUUCUCUAUCUUUUCUACCUCUUUUACCUUUUUGCACUUUUCUGAAUUCACCUUAGUAAUAGUCUUGCCAGAUGCCCAUUCUCCUUCUAUUUCAAUCAUGUUAAUUGUAGGUCCCCCAUGAUUAGGAAAUAGGUUACUAUUGAUAUUUAGCAUCAGUGACUGAAGCGUGAUGACCUUUUGAUCAAUCAGAUCUUGGAUCCUGUGUUUCAAGAUAAAACAGUGCUCGAUACUGUGCCCUGCUGCUCCUGAAUGAUAGGCACAAUUUUGAUCAGGAUGAUAAAAUCGGGAGUUAGGAUUGACAUGCUUUGGCUGGAUUGGUUGUAAGUGACCAAUAUUCUUCAAUCUUUCAAAUAGUUGGGUGCGACUUUUAGCAAGCGGUGUGAAGUUUCAGGGAGGUUUCUUUUUUAUGUUUAGACGCGGAGUGUUAUAAUGAUUCUGAUUUGCAGGAGGAGGCACUUGAUGAUAAUUUGGAGGUGCUUGGAUGUUUGUUAGGAUGUUUGGAAGAGUGGAUUGGAUAUUAGGAUGAUAAUUCGGUGGUGGAACUUGACAUUGGGGAAAAAUAUUUGACUGCAAAGCUUGGAAUUGGGAUUGGACAUUUAGGAGUGAAGCUUGGUACUGGGGUUGACUAUUUGGGAGUGGAGUUUGGUACUGAGGUUGGACAUUUGGAAGUGAACCUUGGUAUUGGGGUUGGGUGUAGAAUAUAUGUUGAAAGUUUGGUGAUGGCGGAGAAGAGAAAAUAUUCCUAGAGUUGAACCUCUUUUUCGUUUUUACAAUAGAAUCAGCAAAAACUGUGCCUACAUCCUCCUUUUUCUUUUUCGAGAACAUAGUAGUUCCGGAUGAUGUUGGGGUCUUGGCAAUUUUUCCUAUACGAAUACCUUCUUCUAGUGAUUCCUUAAUUUUUACCAAAUCUGCAAAAGUUAUCCUGACAGCGGAUACUAUCCUGGUAUAAUAUUCUCCUUCUUGAGAGUGAAAGGACACGGAUACCAUUUCUUUCUCGGACAUGGGGGGUUGCACUUUGGCAGCUUCCUUCCUCCAAUGAAAAGCAUAGUCUCAAAAACUCUCAUCACUCUUAUUUUUGAUCCGAUCUAGUAAAUACCGGUUCGGGAUAAUUUCAAUGUUGAAUGUGAACCUGUCAAGGAAACCCUUGGCCAAUGCUUUUCAACCAGUCCAUUUUUUUGGUUGCUGAGACAUGAACCACUCUAAAGCUUCACCGCUUAAACUUCGGCUGAAUAGGCACAUCAAUAAUGCCUCAUUUUUCCCGAUCCCUACCAGUUGCUCACAGUACCUCGUCAGAUGGGCCAUUGGAUUUCCAGCACCAUCAAACACUUCAAACUUGGGGACCUUGUACCCUUCUGGAAGAUCUACUCCAGGGUGAACAAGUAAGUCAUUGUACCCUAAAUCUUCGUGGUUCCUCGCUCCAUGAGAUUCUUUGAUCCUCAUGAUCUCUUCAUUCAUAGAUAGCAACUUUAUUUCAUGUUCGGUCCUCUACUCUUUCUCCCUCUCUUCGUAAUGGUCCAUCUCAGGAUUAGGAAGGGGAUUAUAGAUGUUGGGGGAUAUGAUGGCAUGAGAGGGCUUUGGAAGGGAUGCUUGAUUUUGCAGAUGAAAGAAAGUUGGUUGGUAGGUGGGGAGGACGUUUUGAAAUUUAGAAAGUUUUUGUGGAAUUUGCGAGUGGUUUGGUGGAAUUGGAGAAGAAUUCUGUGGAUUUUGAAAAUGAAUUUGGUGGAUUCGGGAAUAGAUUUAAUGGAUUUUGCGGGUUUGGAAGUGAAUCUUGUGUAUUUGGGAAUGAAUUUUCUUGAUUUGAAAAUAUAUUCUAGGGAUUUGGGAAUAGAUUCGGCUAUGGGUUUUGUGGGGUUAGAGAUGGAUUUUGUGGAUGGUAGGCAUCUGGGUUAUUUUUGCGAUUGGUAUUUUGGACAAGUGGAGGGGCAGAGACGGAUGAUAUGUUAUUUGGAUGAUCCCCGAGAAUAGACGUACUAAGGGAAGGGAUUUGGAGUGGAAUCCCGUGUCCUCCUGGAGUGGGAGCAUUAACAGUGAUGGCCAGGUGAGCCAAAUCUCGAGUAUGAUUUAUUUCCUCCUAAAUCAUUUCAAGCUUUCUUGCGAGUUCUGCAAUCAUUUCAUUCUGUUUCGCUAUUAGAUUUUCCCUGAUGGUCAAUGCAUUUUCUUCAUUAUUUACAGUCAUUAUUGAAUAAUGUUCAAAGGAUGGGAUUUUGUGUGCUUUUGACCGGAUGAAGUAGGGAUGUUCUAUCAGCUUAUAUCAACACGGAGUAGUUUCUAUUAUCUGUAAAGUAAAACAAAUCAAAGGCAGAUGUGUUAAUUUUCGUAUGUGAUAAGUAAUGCAAAAUAUUUGACAAGAAAUAACCACGUAGAGUUGUUUGAGCCAUAGGCAAAUUCAUCCAUAGGAGCAUAGCGGAUAAACUUUUCUUUGAUCCAAACAAAUACACACAAGCACACAAGAUAGUUAUAUUACACAAAACAUUAUAAUAAUGCAUAUCCUAACUGGGGUGACCCUUUUUGAGCCAAGGGUUCAGGCCUAACGAUUUUGAAGAAAAUAGAUGCUUCCUUAAAGUCAAUCCAUUAUCCCCCAACUUAUAUAGACAAGAAAAAGGGCAUAAAUGCCUACAAAAGAGAACAAAAGAGGGAUACAAUCUUUACGGAAAAAGGGAAAUAACAUGAAAGAAAAUAAGUUCCCACGCAGGGGCAAUAGAAAAACUAGCUAUCGGAGGCUCCUUCGUCUGCCUUUUCCUUCUUUGCCUUAUUUACCUCCUGUGCUUUUUGAUACCUAUUGAUGAUAAGAUAACUCCCGCAUAAUUUUGCCUUGCUGUCGUAAGUCAUUUUUCCUAUACUAUCGAGUUGAGAGGCCAUGCUAUCAUCCAAUUAAACACUGCCUAGCAUCAUCAGCCUCUUGCCUCGCUGUUUUCAACUCUUUCCUCAACAUAGGUAUUGUUAAAGCAUCUUCUACAUGCGUCUGUCGGUGUACGAUUUCACUUUUAUAAAACUCAUCCUAAAACCUAUGGAGUCAGAUUUUAUGCUCGGAUUCUACAUCCACGACCCGAGUGGGCACGUUUGGCCCUGGAAUCAAUCCUCCGGCGAGGCUCUUUUUUAACCACUCCUUGUAGGUGUCGCUGACUUCAGGUUCAUACCCUAUAAGGAAAGAGGCUUCCUUCCACCUUCUCCUUCUCCAUCCUUUUAUCAUAUAGUCUUUGAGCAGGGGUUCGCUUUCAUCAUAUUCGAUGAAAAAUCUGAGCAUAGAAUCUAUUUGAGGCGUCUCCUGCUUGAUCUCGAAUUGUCUAAGAACUCUGCCAGGAUUGUAGGGACGGGUUCCCCUGAGACCCGAAAGCACUAGAAAAGGUCACUCGCCCCCUCGAAUAAUGUAUUUCCCUAAAUGAAGAUAGUUAAGGGACCAUUGGACGUCGUCAUCUAUUAAUUCUCCAAGAGUCUUAAACCAAAAUUCAUGAGAUUCUCCCCUUUUGAACCUGUGUAAAAACAACCACAUGUUGUGCGAUUCUAGCAGAUUCCACCUUGUUUUAUGGUCAGGUUGUGCCGUUCUAGGAUUUUUCACCAAAUGCAUCAUCAUCCACCAUUGUAAUAUAAGGUUGCAGCCUUGAAAGAAACGAUUCUCGACUUGACACCUUCCCAAAGCUCGAUAUAUAUCGGCGACAAUCAUAGGAGCUAAGUUGUGGAAUUCCUUUUUAGAAUUGUACUCUAUUCCAAAGAAGAGUUCAUGGGUCACUGAGAAAAACCUCGGAUGAAUUAUGCCAUUUUCCCCUUAUGGGAACACCAUGGUUCCAAGUAGGCCUACCUCAAACGCAAGGCUCUUGUCUCCUUCCAUUUUUUCUCUGACUCAUAUUUAUGCCCAAAUUUGUGAAAAGCAUUGAAUCUCCCGAACCGAUGAUACAAAUCAUGAAAAGUGAUAUUUUCUCCAUCACGUCCUUGAUCUUUUGACGAUCCCACACAACCGGGACUAACAUGUUCUUAUCAGGUGUCUCCCUUCUCUUAAAACACAUUUCCAUACUCUCGUAACAAAUCAAUACCUCUUCAAUGGUAGGAGUCAAUUCAACAUCCCCAAAGUGAAAUACCAUAUUCUGAUCAUCCCAAAAAGUUGUUAGUACAUGGAUCAUUUCGGGCCAAGCUUCCAUCUCGAUCAAAGAAGGAAGAUGCCUAAAUUGUGUUCUAACAAUCUUUCUCUCUUUUGCACUGAUGUGGUCCCACCAUAGUUUCAAGAAAUCGUCAGUUUUAGUAACCAUCUUGAACUUUUUGUGGGAACGUAGUUGAGCCAUAUCCUACAUGAAAGUAGACAAAUAUAAGCCUUCCCCCGACCCCAAAGGAUAAUGGAUUGAAUUUAGACAAGCAUGUAUUUUUUUCAACACAUAAAUAUGAUUCGUCUGUAAUUAACUCGGGGUCAAUAGACGUAGGGAAGGUUUUCUAGUGUGACCAAUACCCCGCUUGGGUACUGGGUUGUCCUAGGCUCAUGCCUAAAAUAGGGCUUUGGUUUCGUUCUAUCCUCGGUGUCUAGAGUGGGUUUGAACACUGGUCUGUUAAAAACUGAUUAAUUUUUAGGAAAAAAAUUCGUGUAAAAAUAGUUUUAGACAAUCUAAUAGGGAUUUUAACUAAGUAUACACAAAUGAAAUAAGCAAGUAAACAUAUAAACGGGGAUAGGGAGGAGAAAGUAAAUGAUUUAGGCCAUUGGGCCCAAACCAACAAAACCUGUCCUAAUCUAAUUGGGUCUUUGACCUAUUUCACCUGUCCUACUCUAGUUUUUGAGCCUUUGGCUCGAGUCUCGAUCCGCCUGUAUUAGAUACAACUUUGGCUUUGUGGCCCAAAUGAAUAACUAACAAAAUAAGUAAAUAAAUACGACAAUAAUAAAUAACAACAACAAAUAAAUAGCAAUGAGGCUCGGGUCAUGUCGUCGCUUCAAGAAUGGGACUUUAACCCAUUUCCCUUCUUUUGACUCCUUGUAUCCAUAUGCUCUUUGUCUUUUUGGGUCUUCAAAUUUGACUCAAUACUAGGUGGGCCUCAAUGGACCAUAAGGAACAUGCAAAGGGAAAGAGAGUCUGUGCGAGACUCGAGCGUAACCACAUGCAAAAGGAAAGAAAAGGAAUUAAUGUGUGCUAACGUUAAUGAAUAAGAAAAAAUGCUAAGAUAUCAUGCAUGUUCCUCAAAAGUAGGCAAUAAACUAUAUCAAAUCUAGUUUAACAACAACAAAUUCAUAUUUGAUGGCAUACAUGGAAACAACAUGAGCAGGCACCCAAGUUUUCAAGUAUAUGAAUACAAAUAUAGUUCUAAAGUUAACAACACAUAACGAAGAUGUGUAAGAAUAACUUCUAUUCCCAAAUGUACGCGCCAGAAUGAUGAAAAGAAAAUCCAGGUUUAAUCUAGGCAAAACAGAAAUCAGCAAUUGUAAAUACAUACACAGUAUAGCUAGCUUAAAAAUGCACCAUUUGAAUAAUACACUCACAAUGAGGGAAUCGAGCACAACCAAAAUUUUGAAAUCCAGUAUCCCAAGGCAUCAUAUACUCAAUAGACAAGAUAAAUUACAGUAUUUUCUAUUUCUAGGCAAGAUCCAAUUAAGAUGGUGAGGAGGGAAGACCCUCCAGAACAAAAGGAAGUAAACUACUUCGUGAGAGAGAUGCGAAAGAAAGGAUGUGAAUAGUAUACGCGGAUGCACAAAAAGGUAAAUUUGUCUGGUAAUGAUUGUAUUUGAAACAUGCAAGACUGAAAACAAGAAAAAGUUAAUACCUUUGUAAACUUAAUGUGUACAUAUACAUAACUUUCUUGGUAUGACGACGGCAGCGACUAUAAAAGUACCCAAUUGCGGCUAAAAUAGUGACGAAAGCGAAACAAAAUCACACAUUUUAAAGCAAUAUCGAGACUACAUGUAUAUUCAUAGUGAUUUGCGAUGACAGAGAAUCAAAGCAAUGGACUUUUUACAAAGAAAAGAAUGAAACUAACAUAAGACAGAAAUUAUGUCAACAUGUUAAAAAACACCAUCUUCAUCACAUAAUACUAGCCUUUGAGGCCGACUACAACAAACAACCCAGCGCACCAUAUCAGUAAAAGCUUACAACUUCAGAGGUUUACACAAAUCAGCACACUAUGUCACUAAAAAAAAACUUACAACUUUAGAAGUUUAAGAUGAGGCAGAAAUAAUUGUAAGUUAAACGGGAUGAAAUGCCAACUGUUUCGGAGCAACAAAAUGGGACGACGAGCGGGUUGGGAGAUCAAGACCACUGGAAAACUUCUUCACCGUCAACUCGAGACUCUAAUUUAGCUGACGAACUUUCAAAAUUAGAACAGGAUUUAUACUGAAGAAUUAAUUUUUUCCCCUAUUUCGAACUGGAAUCCCUUUCUUUAGACCUAAAAUAUCCAACCCUCUCAGUUGGGAUUUUUCCGAACCUAUGUUUUGAAUCCAGAAAUUUCCAACCCAAGAAUUUCUAACCCAUGAAAUUCCUCUAAAGUUUCAAACCGAGCCCAGGAAUAAGGUAAAAGAAACCCUAAAAUUUUUCAUCCUAAUUCUCGAACCCUAAUUUUUUUUACUCUCGAAUCUCCAACCCGCUAAAAUAAUAACCCAAACCUUCUUAUAUAGAAUACAAAACUAGGGUCUUUUUAGGGAUUUCCUUAGGGGAAUUUGAAAUUCAAAAGAUCAGGAUCCAAUAGAUUCUACCCCCAAUUUGGAUUUUUCUUCAACAAAUCCAAAGUUCUCUUCAACAAAUCCAAAACCGAUGGACUAAUAAGAAUUGGGGAAAACCAAUUAUUCUUCAAGACCAAUGAAAUUCUACCAUAUAUGUAUGAAAUUCUAGAAGGUUCGAGGCUAUUCUCGUAUGAAUUUUCAUGGUAGGGGCACGUGAUUGACGGGUUGAGUUCAGGUUGUUCACGGGUCAACAAAUUUGGGUUGAGAAAAAUAGGAAUCGGGUCAAUUUGGAAUUGUUUCAGUUCGAGAGGUGUUGUCGUCUGUUGAUGUUGUGAUUUGGGAGCUGAUGUUGUUUGAUGUUAUUUGGGAGUUGAUGUUGUUGCUGAUGAGGAGUACAAGGGGGAUUUGUUGAUGGUGGGUUGGGUCAGGUUUUAAAUGGUCCGAGGGGUUGGGUUGUUGUUAAUGGAUAAAGAAGAAAAGGAAAUUGGGCCGUUAGUAUUAGUUGGGGUAUGGGCUGCUGGGGUUAGGUUGAAUUUGGAUUGGUGAUUAAAGAUAAGAAGUGGGCUAAAAUUGGGGUUAUUUAAUGGACAACCCCAACUGAAUUAAGAAUUAGCUGAAUCCGUUUAAAUUUUAGUCAUAUUGAAAAUCAAUUAGCCAAUUGCAUUGCAAUUGAGACCAAUUUGAUUUUAAUUAUAGCCAAAUUUAAUAGAUUGGCCAAAUCAAACCGAAAUUCGAUACAAAUUAAUACCUCACUUAAUCUCGAGCUUCUUGAUUUAAUAUAAUCAAAAACACAUUUAUCCAAAUAAAUUAUUUUUGAGAUUAAAUUAUACUUGAAUCAAGAUUUUAUUCUCUUGAAAUAAUUUUCAAGUUCAAUCUAAAUAAGAUUUCAAUUUUGAUAAAAGUAUUCAUUUAAAUAACAAAAUUUAUACAAUCUCGUGUAUGUGAAUACGAAAAUGUAUAACAGUCACUUAAAUGAUGAAAUCAACCCAAACAAAUAUUUUAAAGUGCAUUUAUUUGGAAAAAUAAUUGUUGUGAUUUUAUUUGAAAAUUAAAGAAACUCGAGAUUAAAUGUAGUUAUGGAGGGAAAAAAUCAGGUGUCAACAAGUAUAUCAGUAGUUCAGCCAUGAAAUCAUGCUUCAGUUGUGCCUUUCCGGUAUGUACUUUCAGUUUAUCUGUUCUCCCGUCUUAGUCUGCCUCAUUUGAGGAUGAAUGUUUCCAAGGGAGAGAUAUUGUAAGACUCUACAAAAUUUUGAGCUUUACUCAGUCCCGUAAAGCUUAAUAAGGGGUCUUAUACUUAGAAAAUUUUUGCUAAGUAUUCAGACUUAGUGUUAUUUUAGCCUUCAUAAGUUGAAAAUCGUAUUUCAUGAUCCAUACGACCUUUAUAUAUCGAUUUUUGGGUUAAUCCAUGAUCAGGAAUGUCAGUAGGUAUCCCUGGACAAGUUUCAGGUCUUUUGAACAUAGUUUGGGGCACGUUUGGAAGUCUAGAUCAGUGUAUCAAUGCGAUUUCGACGCGCCGCAUUGCCUAUAGCAUUGAUAAAUGUUGUUCCCAGCUUUCAGUGUCAAUUUUUAAUGAGUCGACGCGACUUGAUGUGGCAUUUCUGCCAUCGCAUCGACCCCAUUGAUGUGAUGUGUCAAUCUAUGCAUCACUAAGUCAGUUUUUAGUCAAUAAGAUUCCACAUCCUUAGGGGUGAUUGGGUCUUUUUCCCACGACUAUUCAGCCCCAAAAACAUGAAAUUCAUCCCUCACUAAGCAAAUUACACCCAUUCUCUCUCAAAUUACUCAAGAACAAACCCUAAGGCUUUUAAUUCAAGAUUCAAAUCCCAAGAAUUGCACCAUCAAUCUUCAAGAGUUCAAGCAUUGAGGUAUGUGAAGUGUUCAUCCAAGGAUUUCUUCCACCCUUGGAGCUCAAGAAACUCUUUUAAACUUCAUGUAAUUUGAUUUCAUGACUUCCAUGAUUGGAUUUAAGUAUAUUCAUGAUUUUAAUGUUAAUUGGGUUUCUAAUUCAUGGUCUAUUACAAGUUUCAUAUAGAAUCUAUGAUUAUGCAUGUAGUAUCAUAUGAAUUCAUGUUUAAGCCCUUGAAUUUGUGGAUUCGGAAAUUGAUGUUAUGAUGUCUACAUGUUGUUUGUAUCAUGGGUAUAGAUUAUGUGAUUGACAAAAUGCUUAUGUGAAUUGACUAAUGAAAGCAAUACCUGUAUUAUGUGAUUCUAUUCAUGCGUGAGUUCAUGUACAUCAAACACUUGACAAAAUGUCUAAUUAAAUGCAUUGUUAGCAAGCAAGUAUUAUUAUGCCUCUAAUGUAAGGCCAUGUUUACUUUUCAUGCUAUCGAUUCCUAGAGGUAUUUAAUACUCGAAAACCCAGCUAUUGACCUAGAGCUAUAGUAGUUACAUAACAGUCUUAGUAGUAUCACAAACAGUAGUACUCAAUAAUCAGUAAUAACCUCAAUUCAAACCUCAGUAAACUCAUUCAGUUAACAGAACUCAGUAGUAUUCCGUCAGUCAACAGAACCCAGUGAACUCAGUUCAGUCAAACAAUAUGAUCAGUAAUAGCUAAAUCAAGUCUAGUUUAGUCUAAGAAUCAAUUCAGUGACUAUUCAGUUGGGAGUAGGAUUCAGCACCGAGCGAGAGUAGGGAUGGCGAAUUUCCCUUCAGAUAGGUAGAGUAGUUAGUAGCAAUCCCUGUAAUCUUAAACUGCGUAGCCAGCGCAGGAUGAGGAGUCACCUGUCAGACUAGGCUUGGCUCUGCCCAGGUAUCACCUGUCAGUUAAGCUUGGCAUCCUGGUCUUUCUAGUGCCCGUGGCACGGUAUUAAAACCCUUAUAACUAGGGUCACAGGUUGGACCCUAUCAAUUCAGAUUUAGGGCAUGUCGGUUAGAUGAUUAGCUCUCAUAGUUUCAGUUUCAGUUUCAGUCUAAGUAUAAAACUCAAUUCAGUUCUAUAGAAUCAGGACUGUAAGAUAUUGUAACCCAGCAGUAUAGAACUUAGAUCAGUUCUACAGAUUUAUGACUGUUAGAUACAGUCAUUCAGAUCAGUAUAGAACUCAGAGAAGUUCUACAGAAUCAGGACUGUCUAAUACAGUCACUUAGUUAUCAGUUAUAGAGUAUCAGUAAAAUCAGAUAUCAGUAAAUCAAUAAUCCAGAACUCAGUAACCAGUGUUAUCAUGACCUCAGUUACAGAUUAUUUAUUUAUGUAUGUACUCUCAUUCAGUUAUGUUCAUAUUCUCAACCAGUUAUUGUUCAUUCAUAUGAACCCAUGCAUAUCAGCCAACCUUACUUAGCAUACCAAUAUAUUCAAAGUACUGAAACAUACUUUUCUUUGUGCUAUGAUGUCUUAUAUCAUGGUUCAGAUGCACGGGCUCCUGACCGUACUUAGUAGCCCAUCCAUUCAGUAGCUGACUUAGUGGUGAGUCCUCAUAGUUCGGGGACAAAGUAUUAUUUUAGUGGAUCGAUUUAUUCCAGUAGUCAUAGUUUGUUGGGGGCUUGUCCCAUGAACUCCAUAAUUCAGAUAGUUAGAGGCUUUCAAGCUAGAGUAUUUCAGACCGAUAUUUCAAUAUUUAGUUUUCAAUAUUCAAUAUUUGUUUUUUAGUUAUGAACUUUAUGGCGUUUUUAGUAUACCUUCCGCAUUUAUUUCAGAAAUAUCAUUGUUGCAGUGUUAGUAUUAUUCAGUGCUCACAGGAGGUACCAGUCAUGGGUUAUCUAGUGGUCCUUUAGGAUCGCUACCACCAUGUAGUGUCCGGGGUACAAACUCGGGCCGUUACAAUCACCACAAUUAAAUCAUUGAUUGCUUUGAAAAAGUCUUUCACGACAUGAAAGUUCAUAGAGGAAACUUUAGUUAGACCACUCGUAAGUAUUGGUCUAACUAGGAUGCACCGAUGAAAAACAAAUACACUUUAAGUUGCGAGAAUGAAAACACAUUCAUGAGUACUUCAAGUCUCUCCGACAAGUUUCGACAAGCUUACAUGUCGACCAACCUUGAAGUAGGGGGUAUCUAUAGACACGUAAAUUUAUUGCAUCAAAUUCAUAUAAAUUUUAAAUCUGAUCCAUAUUUUAUUACGUCUAAAAUUAUUUUGGGCUUAAAAAAAUAAUAAGUCCAUUUUAUUCCUCAUCAAGGUCCAUCUCACUUUGAAGCCCAAACUCAUCAAGUGACGUGACCACCCAAUCAAAUUUAAGACCAACGAGAUGCCAACACAUGUACAAAUGAUGUGGAAAUCUCAUUCAAAUUCAAGAACCAGUCAAAAGGCGCCAAGUGUCAAAGUGGCAUAUUUUGGCCAAUCACAAGCAACCAAGCCUACUCCCUACAACUAUAAGUAAGGGGUGACAUAACAUUCUAAGGGAGGGGGGAUUUGGAAAAAAGGACUUUGACAAGCAUUGGCAAUGUCAGCAUUGACUAUCUAGUUCUUGCAAGGAGAAAUCAAUGGAGUUCUUCCCGGAGAUUAUUCCAAAGUGACAAAACACUUUCCGACAUUCCCGGCGAUUGAAAUACGUCUCUAGGAGUCCAAAUCAUCCAACGAUUUGAGAAACACGCUACUGAAGGCUCUCGAAUCUUUUCUAAGUUUAGGAGAGAAGAAUCAAGAGAACAACAAAAUUGUACUCACAAGAUUCAUUUAAAAAAAAUUAUUCUUUUUAUUUAUUUUAUUUUUGCUUGCAGUUAAUUUUCAGUACCACGAAAAUUUGUUGUGAAGAGCUGCUUAUGACUUUAGUCUUAAAAAAAAAAGUAAAAAUAUUUAACGUAACUAUCAAUUUAAAUAAAUUAAAUCCAAAAAUUAUACUCUACGCUAUAUAUAUACCUCAUGUGAUGCAAGGUCAUUGAGUAGUCUUCCAAUGAUACAUAAAGCAUCAAGUAUUGGAGGUUCAUUUGCUAACCAAUCAAGUGCAUCUUUAGUUGCCACCUUUCCCAAGCCAACACAAACUGCAGUUGCAAACAAUUGGCAACCACUUGAUGGAAUUUCAUUCUUUAUAUACUGCUUCAAUGCUGGGACUUUCUUCUCAUGACACCAUUAUGCCUCUUGGAAGUAAGACCUUGGCACAGUUUUCAUCUGGAAAAAUAUAUUUGGCAAAACUUAUUGCUGUAAAAUUCUCCUAAAAAUCCAGUUUGAUUGAUCAGUUAUAAAAACCAGAAGGCACAAUAUAUUAAUUUGUCAUUUAAUUUGGCCUCAGCUGGCAUUUAUACUACUUUGGGUGUCCACAAGUAGACACUUAAAUUUGUAUAAAGUUGAAUAAGUAGAUACAUGCCUCCUAUGUAGGCCUCUUGUGUAGGGUCUCACGUAAAACACCAUGUUCGACAUAUAUGCCUACUUGUUUGACGUUAUACAAAUUUAAUGUCUAUUUGUACACAUCCAAAAUUGGAGGGUUGUCAGCUGAUUAGGUCAAGUUACAGGGCACAUUUAUGUAUUUCCAUUGUUGGUGUUGAUCAAUUUAAGUAAUUAAUUGUUUGCUACUUUAUUUAUAUUAAGUACCUCAAUUAUGCAAUUGUAGAUUAGAAAUGACUUGUUUGCACUUGCCAACUCCUUCUCAACUUCACUAAAAACAUCUAGAAGACCACGAUAAAAUGAUCUUCAUAUAUGAUGGUAACUAUUCUGAAGCAUAAAUAUUUCACCUGCAUAUAUCACAAACAUCAAAAACAUUCAAAUCAUAUUCUACUGGGAUAAACGAGCAUGUGUAUGUAUGUAUAUAACAAUAAGAAUUGCUACCUUUCAAUUGCCUUUGCAAAGAGAGUAAGUUCAUCUAGUGUUCCAUAGAUAUCAUAUGUGUCAUCUAUCAUGGAAGUGAAGAAUAAAAAAUUUGUUAUAAUUUUCCUCCCAAAGCUAUAGUGAGGCUCAUAGUAGCAACAUAAAAUCCAGAAGUAUAACUCAGCCAAUCUGUCUCUAACAUAAGGUAAUGCCUUCACCAAUUCCAAUUCUUUCCACCACCUACAACAAAUUGAGUGUUUAAUUGGAAAAUGUUUGGAUUUCAAUAUUUCACCAAAGGUUAAGAUGUGUGCGGCGAGUUACCUUGUGAUAUCAUAUAACUCUUUUUUAUGCAACCUUUGCAGGAUGUUGAGUCUAAUUUGGAAAAGUUCAGUAACACUUGAUUGCAUGAUUCAUGAUUUUCUUGGUAAAAUGAUAUGUAUUUCCUUGUUUCUACCCUCACCACACCAUCUUUAAUUGAAAAUUUCAGUGCGUUACUGACUUGUUGUGCAAGAUGAGAGUUGCUCAAUUUUGGCAAAUUAGUUUCAAUUGAGUGAUGGUGAAAUUUAGUGCUUCAUCUAGAAUUUCUUUGUCAUGCACUCUGAAUUGUGUUGCCUCGUAUAAACUCAACAUUCCAUGCACGUCGUUAACUAAUUCUUUCUUGAAACUUCCUUGGUUGCCAAUGAACUUUCUAAAAGCAUCUGCAUCAAAUUUUUGACGAAUUAGAACAAUACUUCCCACAUGAAACAUAAUAACCUUGUUGCCUAGGUAAUCGAAAGCAUAUAGCAAUAGCAUGAAGGUCAUCGUCAUCAACUUCAUCAAUCCAUUCUUCAUAGCAAGUGUACAUAUAACUCAAUGAUUCCUCAAUCUCACGUUCAAAAUGAUAAGCUAUACCAAGACGUUGGAUUGUGUUGAUGAGAUCAAGCUUCUGCAAAUAUUUUGAAGGAGCCAUCAUCACUAGCAUCUUUCUCACUUCUUCUUUUAGGUCAUCAUGCUGCUUCUCUUCCUCCUCAUUAGCUACCUAUUGGGAAUAUAUAUGUUACUCAUAUGAAUUAGUUCAGCAUGCAUAUUGACGGUGUAAAAAAUAUUUUUUUAUUUACCGAUAGAUCAGCAUACGCAAGAAAAUGGUUUCCCCAAAUAGUAGGAUGAUGAUUACCUGAGCGACGUGUAAUUUUAACUUCAUCAGCCACAUGGUUUGUGUACACAACUCCAUUUUUCAACUUGAAGGAGUUACAAAAACUGUUUGGUAAAGGAAAUGAACCAAGAUGGGAACAAACAUGAGUUAGUUUCAGCCAAUGGGGUAGCAGCAUAAAUCGAAAGGUGGUUAGUUUGAACAAUAUCAUUUGUCAAAAGAUUAUACUUUAUAUAGAGAAAAUUAUACAACAUAUAUAGAUUAAAAACUACUUUUUACGUAUACGUACUAUUUAAAACCAACGAAACCUCAAAGUUUCACAACUCUUUUUAGGAUGAUCUAGAAAUCACCUAGGUAGGCUCCUAGGGAGUAUAGAGGAUUUUUCUCUAUAUAUGAAAUUUUGUACGAACUAUUCGUGUAUACUUGCUACUAGUAACUUCUUAAGAAGAAAAAUAAUAUUACUCCACUUAUUAAGCUAAUUCUCUGCAAAAUAAAACUGUUACACGAAAUGAUGAUCUCGAUAAAAAAAUUUAAAAAAAUUUAAAAAGGGGAUACCUGAUAAUGAUUUUGGCCAAGUUGCAAAUUCAAAUUUUCUUAAGACUUAUCAAUACGCUGAACCAUGAUGAGAACUCAAUUCCUAUUUAUAAUGCUUUAGAGCAUGUGGAAAUAUUGAUGAUGAUUUAGAGGUUUUGUGAAGUGGUCAGAUAGCUGUNNNNNNNNNNNNNNNNNNNNGGGAGAGGGUUCAUCCACAUGUAUAGGAUGGACUGGUGGUUGAAUAAAAAAGUGAUUUAAAGCAAAUUUUAAGUCUUUAACUAUAAAAAUCUUCAUUUAUAAAUAUAUUAUACAUAAAAUUUGAAUCUUAUUCUUCCUUGAUGAGAAAUUUUGGAUUCUAGCCUCACAACUAAAAAAACUUGCUAGAUAGUAUUUUCAUUUUUAAGUCUCAAAAUUGAACUAGUCUCAAAAUUAAAUUAAUUCAAAAUUUAAUGCAAAUACUUUUAAAACUGACUGAAAAAAUAAUUGGAGCCUCAAAAUUUAGGAGUCAAUAAUUUGAUGUUUACUUUUAAAUCUUGAAAAAUAAUUUAAAAAAUAAGUUAGUAUGACAAUUCCUAUUUGGUAGUUUAAAAUAAUAUGUAUAAAAAAAAUACGUCGAUAUAAUGAAAAUAGAUCUAGGCAAAAAAAAUAAAUAAAUCAUUUUUAAGUCUCAAAAUUGAACUAGUCUCAAAAUUAAAUUAAUUCAAAAUUCAAUGCAAAUACUUAACAAUUAACACUGACUGAAAAAGUAAUUGGAGCCUCAAAAUUUUAGGAGCCAAUAAUUGAUGUUUACUUUUAAAUCUUGAAAAAUAAGUUAGUCAGACAAUUCCAAUUUGGUAGUUUAAAAUAAUAUGUAUAAAAAAAAAUACGUCGAUAUAAUGAAAAUGGGUCUAGGCAGAAAAAAAAAAAAAAGGUUCUUCUUUAAAUGAGACAUAUUUAGGCCCCCUAUUUUUUUUUUUUUUUUGCCUAACUUUAAUUUUAAAAGUUUGGUAUAUUCAAUUAGUUUCGUAGUCAUAAUUAAUUUGGGAAAAAAAAAUCAUAAAUAGCAUACUUAACACCUUAAUUAUGAGAUUCAUAGCAAUACUUUUAUAAUUACCUAAGAUAACAACUUGUAUUUUGUAUUUUAUCAAACUGUUGCUAUACAAAUACAAAUACAAAUACAAAUGAUUUUACUGUCCAUAAUUAAUUGAAAUCUGUUGAGGUAAAUAUGGUAAAAUUAUCUUAAAUUAAAUGUGCAGAUUUUAUUCUCAUUAAGCUUCAUAAAUCACGCGAUUUUCAUUAUUUCUUAACAACAGUAUUCAAAUUCAAAUUUCAGUUUCAGAAAAAUGUGUUCAUGCAAAAAAAAUCAAAAUCAAUUGAAUGUUCAAUUUUUUCUAGUUGAACAGACAAAUUCAAGUGUAUUUUCUUCUGUUCAAUUUCUUAGCUUCUUUUUCUUCUGUUCAAUCAAAUUCAACGAUCAGUUUGAACAAUUAGUUUCUUCGAAUUCGAUGAUCAACUUUACCUUCUUCUGGAUAAUUUGUCUGAAUUCAACCAUCAGUUGUAAAUUCAUCCUUUACUGUAGUUGAAGGUAUUAAAUCGUAAUAUUUUUUCUCAUAUCAAUUUCAUCAGGUUUUAUGUAAUUGAAAAAAAGGAAUUUGUUCUUAAUUUUUUUUCGCACCGUUAUAGUUAUUUUGUUCGAAAUUUUUUUAUUGAUUUAUUUGUGCUACUUCAUUCAAAUUUUUCAUGUCGUCGUAAUUUGCUUAUGAAUAUUUUCUAAAAAAUUUUUGAGGUAAAGUUAAUGCAACAAUAAUUUGAACUGAUUGAAAUGAGUUUUUCAAGAUGAUCAAAUUCUAUUUUUGAUGUUUUGCUUGUCGGAAUUUGAGAUUAUAUCUUUGUAUCUUAAAAGUUCUUUUAUAUAUAUUUUAGUUGUGUUCGAUUAUGGAGGUUUUGGAUUUGAUUGUAUUUAACAUUGAACAGAUAAUUUAUAAUUGUAUUUUGGCUGAAAAUUUUUGCUGUGUUUGUAUUUUAAGUUUAACAAAUGUUGUGUAAAUAAAUUUUCGAUUGUAGUUGUUGGAUGUGUAAGUAUAUAUUGUUUACGUUUAUAACUAUAGAAUUUUGUUUUAAUUUUUGUUAUGAAAGUGUAUGUUGUAACAAUUGACAGCUUACAGAUAUGUAUAUUUGUGUAUUUUAGGUGAAAUAAGUUAGCAAUGGGAAACAUACCAGUUUUCGUGAAGCACUCUGGAAGGUGGACAUAUGAAAAAAACUAUGAAAAGUACGUCUUUAAUGCAAUAUUAUUGAGCAUGACAACAUCAUUUAAUGAACUGCACAACCUUUUGGCAUCUCACUUAAAUAUGAAUUUGAGCCGCAAAUAUAUUCUAGUGGAAUAUCAAAUCACUGGUAAUGCAGGAAAAAUAUAAAUACAUAAUGAAUGGGUUUAAUGGUGUUUAUUUUAUAUAUAAAAAAGAUUCAAGACAUGAAGAAUCUUCCUUUAUAUGUAAGCAUUUUGGAAAAAGAUGAUGCAAGCAUCUUUGCAAGUUCAUCUUUAUGCGUUGUUGAAAGAAAAGACAUCUGUAAUAAUUCAUAUAAAGUGUUAAAUACAUCUACUGAAGGUGCUUUGGUGAUUUCUGAAAAUACAACAACAUUAGAUGUAUUUGAGAUGGAUACGGUUCAGGUGGUUAUCUCAUACCCACAUCACAAUGAUAUUGACGAAGACCAGGUAUACUUGAUGAAACAUUUUUUAAAGUCAGUCAUGAAGGAUUAUACAACUAGGAAGAAAUUUCAAACGCGAAG
rnacentral:lncRNA from 1 species